AAGUAUAUGCUUAUAUCAUCUCAUCAACAAGUGCUAAACCCAGACUCUUACUGGCUGUGUUUUGGAACUUGAAAGUUAUCCCAGCCCAACUCUAUCAUGGUUGUAAAAGAGAAAACAGGUUUCCUGACAAAGUACAUUUUACUUCUUAAAGGACAGCUAAUUGUCAUUUAUUCAUGAAAACCAUUUAGUAGUUUCACUUAAGUUAUGAGAUACCUUUUCUAAAAUUUAAUGGAGAUAGAAAAAGAUUCUUGAUUUUGUAUUUGGCAGACUUACAUAAAAGGGAGUAAACCUCCACAUGGUACAGAAAAAAGGAGUAAAAUUGGAUAUAAUUCUUAUUUUAUAGUUAAAGAAAUUAGAGCAUAGAGAAUCAGCAAAUCACAGAACCAGAAAAGUGAAGAUUGAAAUUCUAGACAGUUUAAUUUUUGUUAAGAUCUGUGUUCUCAACCACUGAACAAGCAGCCUGUCUUAUAUGAUUGUGUUAGCUGGAUUGAUUUGGUGUGUAAGCUCAUUAUACUCAGAAAAAAAAAGACCUAGUUAGUUGCUUGUUCUGUUUUUUGGUACUACUAUAAUCUUAAAUAUUGUUAUUCUACAGUUAAUGAGUAUUUCUCCUUAAAAUAAAGUGUAAAGACACCCAUAGAAGAAGCGCUAUCUUUCCAUGUCAAGUAAACAUGGAAGCAGUUUCUGCUCCUGCCUACCCUGUUAUUCUCAAACUUACUAUUUGAAGAUUUAAAUUAAUUAAAUAAGUAUAAAUGAGUGUCAUGCAUAGAAAUUUAGAUUAAGUAAGUCUCAUAUAUCAAUUGUGAGUUAUUGAUUAUUUAUAAAAUUUAAAAAUAUCCUCUCUGGCUAUUUCUGCAGUUCUAUAACUUUUCAGCAGUUGCUUGUAUUCAACUCAUACCAUCUGUCUACAUACAUGUGUGCACACAAACAUAUACAUACUCUGAAACACUGCUAUUUGCUCUAGAAAAGUUAAAUUGCUUUUUUACGUAAGUGCAGGGGUUCAUGUUAUUCUGUGUACCUCACUUUAUUGCUAUCUUGAACUAUAAAGAAUGCAUACCUUUUUACUUAUUCAACUACAGUUAAGGUGAUAUUGCAUUAUGCUUUCCAAAUAUAACAUUGCUUGAAGCAAUGUUAAAUCAGUCCUAACGUAAAAAUAAAGGGAUGGUAUACAGUCUUGUUUUUAUGGAGGACUUUUUCUCUGGAAAACAUGAAUACGUUUUAUAGUCAGCAGUCUCUCCCAUUAAAGGCAUUCAUAAAUCUGUAUCUCUGGGUCAUGGAGAGUGUGAUACACUCGGAAAAAUAAAGAAAAAGACCAAAUGAUUUUCAAAUGUACAUAUUAAUUCUAAAGCUACACUUUAUCUUUUUUUGAUCCCACCUCCCCAAGGUAAGGAAGGAGCAUAAAUUCCAGUACUUAUUUUACUAAUGGAAUUUAUAUGGACAUUAAAUAGUUGACAAGGUGACAGGGUAAUGUAGUAACCACAAAGGAAAAAGAAAGCUACUUGUAAGCCUGUUAGGAUUGUGUAUUUAUAAAUGGGAAGAAUUUCAAGAAAAUCCUAGAAUUUUAAAAUGCAAAUAUUUUAAUAAUUAUUCCUCUACUGAUGUCUUAAAACAUCUACUAGCAUCAAAACUAUUCAAAAUAAGUAAUUCUAGCCUGUUUUAAAGGAAUAAAUGUUUGUUUAGAAAAAUAUUAUAAAGAAUUGCUUUUCAUAGAUUAUGUGUCCAUUUUGUAUUUUAAACUAAAAAUUGUUGAUUAUGAUUGUAAGGAGUAUGGUCCACUUUAAUAUAUUUUAUUCAUAUAGUUUUGUGGCAUUGUAGACAUUGAGUGUCUACAAUGUCUUUAUUCAUUAUUUGUUUUUACACAUUUAUCUUGAUAUUUCAAAGCUACGCACUACAUAGGGCACCUUGAUUAAUGAACAUUGUUUUAAUUUAGGUACCUAAUGAGAAACCUCACCAUUUGAACCAAACCUGAUCCUCUUCUACAUUGGGUCCCCUCGCCCAGUAUAAAACUAGCAUAGCAAUUAACAAGUCUUAGUUUGGACAAAAAUGGCUUUAAAAUUGUUUAAAUGACAGAUCCUUGAGGUGUAGGCCAAUUGUUUGGAUUUAGUGUAUUUGAGAUAAUGUUUAGUUCUGUUAAUUUUUCAUAAGCACUCUACAUGGUUUAGGUGUAAGUGUUUAAGACGUUCUAGUCAACCUGCCUUGGAGCCAACUGAUUAUGGACUGAAACUUCCACAAACAGUAAGCUUCCUUCUUUCCUAAAAAAAGAAAAGAAAAAGAAAUCCUAGUUGGAGGUCCCACCCCAAACCAUUUGAAUUCUUUAUGGACAAUAGAAAUUGAAACUAUGUAACCUAAACAACAAAGAAAUUCAUUUAUAAGACAAUUGGAUAGCACAAAAACUAGAAUUCCAGAGAACUGCCUUUGGCAAGUAUGAGAACCAGGAUAGCCCCUGGAAUUAAUUCUUAAUCUCACUGGGCAGAACUAAUUUCAAUCAUUUACUGUCCUUAUAUUUAUCAACAGAAAAUCUGUUCUGCAAGAGGAAAUAUGAUGGAUCUUGAUUAAGUCAUAGGCUUCAGAAGUAUAAGAAGGAUAGUGCCCUGUGACAAACAACUUUACAAAGAUUGGACUUGGUAUGGGUCAAGUAAUUCUUUAAAAAUACCAUCUCUAGUGGGAUGGAUAAUCAGUGGCCUCAAACUCAGCAUAUAUCUAAUCACUUAUCACCAGAUAACUUAUUUCAGAAUUUUAUUAUCUUAAAAAUAAGUAAACACAAGAAGUAGGCAAUAUAAUUUUGCCUGCUUAAGACUGUGUAGGAAUUCUUGGUUGAGCUCAGGAGAGAGGUAUCAUUUUUGGCUCCUAUGUCAAUAGAAUGUUAGCAAUGUAGAAGUACAUACAAUAAAAUCUUGAAGCCAACUUUUCAAAAGGAUAAAAUACAUUUGAUUGUCUGCAAGUACGGUUUGAAACGUCUUUUGUCAUAAUAAGGCUAUUAUUCUGUAGCAUAGAAGAAGAGAGAAUAUAGAAAAGACACCACCUAAUUUUUCUUGAAAAAGUAACUUUUAGUGAACUGGUUUAUGUGGUUUCAAAACUUUCAGUGCAUUCUAAAUAUUAAUCUGUUAUUUCUGUGUGCUUACUUAAUUAAAGAAAACUUGUACUGCCAAAUAUUGUGCUUGGUAUUGACCUAACUUUGACACACAAUUAUUGUGCUGUCAAAGCAGAUUACUAAACUGUAGAACAAAACAAAUAUACUUAUAAUAUUUAUAUUUUUAAAAUAGUAACUGGCAUUUUAAGAAACCUGAAUUCUAAGAAUUUCAAUAUUUUGCUAAUAAAAAUUAUAAAGAGAUUUUUUUCCUAUGGGCCAUUUUCCCAGAAAUAACUUCCCACAUGAAGUAGUAUAAACCAAGAUUUCUUUUGAGUGCUUCUUUUUGUUGGCACCAUUGUUAGUAUUUCAGUUAUUCAAUCUAAGUCUUUAAAGUGAGUACUCAUGUUCAUUUCAUAGGUUAGGAAAUCGGGACACAGCAAAAUAGAUAACUUGGCCCAAUUUUAACAUUUAUUUGUCGAGCAGUUGAGUUGUGUAAUUUUGAAAUUAUAUACUGAUCCCCAGUACUUCAGAAUCUGACUUUAUUUAUAGGUCAUUGCAGAUGUAAUUAGAAAAUAUUAGUCAUACUGGAAUAAUGUUGGUUCCCUCAUCCAGUAUGUCUGAUGUCCUUAUGAAAAGAACUUUUGGCACUCAUAUGUACACAAGGAGAAUGCUAGGUGAAAAUGAAGACAUUUAUUGGAAUAAUGUGACUACAUACCAAGAAAUGCCACAUUGCCAGUAGGCCAUCUGAGGAUAGAAGAGAGGCUCUCCAUCAGAGCCUCCACAAGAACCAAGUCCUGCAACAGCUCUGGCUCAGAAUUCUUGAAUCUAUAAUUGUGAAAAAAUCAGUUUCUGUUAUUCUAAACCAACCAGUUUGUGAUAAUUUAUUAAGGCAAGAAAAUUCAGGAAGAAUUUAGAUCUUAGGCAUUAUAGAUAUCUAGCUUGUCUUUUUUAAUGAACAUAUUAUAUUGUUUAUCUGGAUUUAGGAAAAUAAGAGUACAUUCAAUAUCACUUAGGUCAUGAAUGAAAUCUAACUUAAGGGAAUUAAUUCAAUCUAAGAAUUAAUGGCAUUGUUUUUCCUAGUAGUUGAAGUGCCUCUUUACAAAGUUGUGUGAGAAAGGAAUCUUAAAUACAAGUUAAGCAUCUUUAUCUGAAAUGCUUUGCACCACAGCGUUCUUGAUUUUGGAUUUUUAUUGGUUUUGGAAUGUGUGUUCAUAUAUAAUGGAAUAUUUCGAGACUGGAAUCUAAGUUCGCACAUGAAAUGCAUUUAUAUUUUAUCUCCAUGUUGUAUACAUAACCUGAAGGUAAUUUUGUGCAGUGUAUUCUAAGUUCUUGCAUUCUGAGUCACAUCACAUGAGAUUGCAUGUGGGAUUGCCACUUGUGAUAUUGUGUCUGUCCUCAAAAUGAUCAGAUUUUGGAUUUUCAGAUUAUACAUGCUCAAUCCACUGUACUUUCUUUUGGGAUUCAUGUUCCUAGAACAAAAAUAACAGAAAUACAACAUGAAUAGAAACAGUUGGAGAACAUAAUGAUCUUGGAAUGUACCUAUCAUUUAUAAACUAUAUGUUAACCUAUACUUAUUUAAAUGUUAGAAAACAUGUAUCUCCCUUAAUAAUCUCUGGACAAUUGUGUAGAUAUUCUCUGUUCCUGUUUGGAUAAGGACUAUUUAAAAAUCUGUCAUUUUCCAAAGACAUAUAUUUUGAAUAGAACCAGGCUUUGAAUACUAGUGCAUUAAGCAGGAAAAAUGUAAAAGAAAAGCAUUCUUUUCAUUACAUAGAGACUCUGAUACAGAAUGUGCCAGGCCUUUUGCCCAUGGCCUUUUCUAGUUAAAACAGAUGGCUGCAGAAUAAAGGAAAAGCUGGUGUUUUUUGUUUAAAAUAAAUAGAAUGAAAGACAAAAUGAAAAAGGAGAGUUAGAAGUAGGAAUUACUUGGAAGGUAUGCAACUCUGCGUAUUAGAAACUCUAAUGAAACACUGGGGAUGUCAGGGUUGUUCUGAAUUUCCAAAGAUAACUCAAAGCCUAAAAGUCCUGAUUUUUUUUCCUUCUAGCUGUAUUAAUUGAUUAAAGAUGAAUUAAGGAGAAAUUUCUUCUUAGAUUCCACAGAGGAAGUACUGAUUUAUAAAGCAGAGAAAUCUUAUUGUUAAAUUUUGGUCAGUGAGCCUUUGAUUUGUAUCUUCUAAUAUUUCUUUAAUUUUUAAAGUCAUCUGAGAGCUGCAUAGUGAAGUAGGCCUGGGAUUGAGUCCCAAUUCUGUGCCUUAUUAGGAGUUCCUUGUAUAAUGACCUAAUAUUUUUGUCCUGUUUUAAAAAUGUAUAAAAUUGCAAAAAGGACACUAUUCACUUUUGAAGAUUCAUAGGUUGGAAAUAUAUAGAAGUGCCUGGAUGCACAACAGUCACUAUAAUACAGUAUCUCACCUUAAUGGGAUUAUUGCUAUGUUUGAAGCACUUGGUAUACAUUUCAUAUCCAAAUUAAGAACUAGUUCAUAUUAUUCCAGUUCAGCAACUGAAAAGUGUAAGGCAUACAUGCUUUGAGUAAUUUGGUGAAGUCACACAUUAGUAAGUUACCUAUAGAUUUGGGAAUCAGUGCUAGAUUCUUACCUUGCAAUUUAUUAACACAGCUAGCAUUUAUUAAAGAUACUAUACUUGGUUCUGUAUUUGGGAUCUCUCUCUCUCUCUCUCUCUCUCUCUCUCUCUCUCUCUCUCUCUCUCUCCUGUCUCUCUCUCUGUCUGUCAUUAGGCUACAAGUAGUUACAAUCAUUUCAGACAGAGGAGAAUGAAGCACAAGGGCAUCAGGAGAACCUGUGAUAGAAUGUUGAGGAGAGAGUGGUAAAUGGCUGGGACAGGUGGAGACUAAGGAGUGAGACAGAAAAUUCAGGAAAAGACCUGGCUUGAGUCAAGACUUGAUAGUAUUGAAUGGUAUGCUAAGUCCUCUACCCUGAUAGCCAGAAGUUCUCAGUCACUUUGGGUAUCUUUGAAAAAAUAACCAUUGUUAGGUACAGCGCAGAUGUACCACUGUAUUUCAAAAAUUUACUAAUUUUUAAAAUGUUAUUAAGUAUACAGUAGGCACUUAAUAAAUAUUGAUUUACCUUAAAAGUAAUCCUUUGUUGGUUGUUAGUCAUCUCAAAAAUUUUUAAUUAUUUCAGUGACGUGAAGGGGAAAUUUAUUUUUGUUACUGAGACACCACUCUGUGGGGACUAUACUAUAAUCCCCAAAAUAUUAAAGAAUUAUAGUGAUAUGUAUUGAUGAUUCACUGAUAAAUAUCCAGAAGAUCAGUCAUUUGUUGAGCAAAAUGUGUGUAUUGCUUUCCCAUCUUCCAUGUUGCCCUAAUGAAAGUCAUAUUGAUUUUUUUCUCAUGACCUUAAAUUUGACAGCUUAGUUAUUUAUUUCCACUUCCAAUAUAAAAUUAGCAUAUUACCUGGUUUUCUUGAUGAUGCUUCAUACAGAUGUGUUUCAUUAGUGCCUCAAAGAUAAUAAAAUUAUUCUUUAAAAAGUGUUAUCUAGAAUAUGAAAUUUAAAGUACAUGAUUCCAAGGUUAAUUAAAAAAACAAAAAAGAUGAUAAUGAUAAAGAGGAAGAGAAAAAUUCAGAUACUAGAAAGAAAGAAUGAACCCACUCACCCACAAACUGAAAGUCCGUUACACUGAUCUUUAAUACAAAUUAUGUGUUGACAUCAUAUUGACCUAAUUGUAAACUGUUUUAUUCAAUUAUUAUAACUUUCUUUGCUUUGAUAUCACCAAAAUAUAUUCAUGUAUGGUUUCUAAUAUGUGUAUUAUUAUAUACACCAAAUUGUUAAUUCUUCAAAUUCUUAGUUGUGUGUACCAAAUUCUAUAGUAAAUAAAGGUCUUAACGGUAAAAAAGUUUACAUUUUUAUUAGAAAAGUUUUCUGAGCAAUGCUGUGUUAAUUUUAAAAACUUACUAUUAGAACAUAAAUUGCGUUUACCUUUAUGUGAUACAGUUUUGACUAUUUUGGAUCUUUUGUCAUGGUAAGAUGCUAAUGAUUGAUGUUUCAACUCUUUUCCAGUAAGAUAGUGCUUUCUUUGUAUUUGCUAUUGAAUGAGUGACUUGGACAAUUGGUGUAUAAUAUUAACAGUUUAAAGACAGAUAGAAAGCCAGAGAUUAGCAUAAGUGUGAUUUAUAAUUGAGUAAAAUGAGACCAAGGAAUAUUACAUGUCUUCACAGUAGUCUCUUAGCCAUUGUUGGCAUUUUACAAUCUCUACAAGAACACUGAAUUAUAUGAAUUUACUUACAUGUAUAUUACACUUUAUAUGUGACAGAGAAUGAAUUUUCAUUGAAAUCAAUGAAAUCAGUUCAUUUUACCAAUAACAGUUUAUUGGCUUAUGACAAGUCAUUUAAUUAUCUCACUUCUCUAACAAGUGUGAUAGGCUAAAUCUUGUCCUGUCAUUUGUAAGUGAAAGUGCAUGAUUUUUACAGGGAAAUUAUGCACAAAUAUCAAAAUUUCAUUAUAUUAAAAAAUAAGUGUCAAUAAUUAUUUCUCACAGUACUUACAUAAACUCUGUCAUGCUGUCUGUGAUAAAGGUAAAUUUUAUGAAAUGAACAUUGAAAUACAGUGUACAGAUGGACUGUUUUGUUAAACUUUAUCACUGUGUGAGCUAUGCGGUACUUUCAAGUAGCUUUCAUCUGCCUCAAAUUUCCCCCCAAACAGAAUAGUCAAAUAGUACCUCUGUAAUUCUCUCAAUUUUCAAAGUUGCUUUGCUCAGUAUUUUUACUAAUGAAUGGAUAGUAUUGAGCAAAAUCUUUUAGGCCAGUAAUAAACCAAAUUCUACUAAUUCAUUAAAAUAAUAGGAAAACAUAAGAAGAAGCUUAGAGGAAAAAAAAUAACCUUUUUCUCAGGCAGGAAACAAACAGACUAAUUAGACUGACUCUGAUUUUUUUGUGGCCUGGAGCAAAUAUUUUAGUCUCUUGGAGCCACCAUUUCCACCUUGGUAAAAUGCUGGUAAUCCUUAAUUAUUCUGUUUUACAGGAUUUUAAUCACGUUGGAAUAUUUUUUGUCAAACUGUUUUGAAAAUUGUGAAGUACCUCACAAUUGCAUUAUUUCAUUUGGUUUCCCAGCAGUGCCGGAACAUCUUCACACAUUGUUGAUCAAAUCAUUUAAUCAUUCAUUCCACAUUUACUGAACAAACAUUAAUUGAAUUCCAGAAGCUGUGAUUCAUGUUAGCAUUAAACAUCAAGCCAUUCUGCCUCCUUCUUGAGUCAAAAAAAAAAAAAAAAAAAAAAAAAAAAAAAAAAAAAGCAAAGAAAAGGAAAAGAAAGAAAAGAGAUGUGAGCUAGGGGGCUGGGGAUUUAGCUCAGCGGCAUAAACGCCUACCUUGCAAGGAGGCAGUCGUGAGUUUGAUCCCCAGUACCGAUAAAAAAAAGAAAAAAAAAAAAAGAAUGAGAUGUAAGCUAGAAGGGCAGGCAAGCUGGAUUGCACUGUGAACACAUUAGCCAGACAGUGAGCCUUGGUUUGUGCUUCCAGGAGAAAUAAUCUGACCUUGUGUUACCAAAUUUAAAUAGGGCAGAAAGGGAAAAGGAAGUCUGCUCUUCCAAAUUGAAUACACUCACUAAUUCCUCCUUUCCAUGAUAGGAGGUAAAUGUCAUUAUUGUGUCCCCUUUUAUAACUGAGGAAACUGAGUCAGACGGGGCUUAAAUCAUUUGGAAGGAAAUGCAGAUAAAAUAAGAGCAUAGAAAGAAGAGCAUACUAUGUAUUUGUCAUUCUUCUGUUAGUGGAAGAAAUGCUUGACACAGUUUAAAGGAAAAAAAAACCUCAACAGUUUUGGUUUACAGUUUCAGAGGUUUCAGUCCAUGGUUGACCACUGUUUGCAGAGCAGAACCAUCAUGAUGAAAGGGUGUGGCAGGAGAGGGCUGCUUCCUCUGUGGCAGCCAGGAAACAGAAUGAGGGAAGAGCCAUAGACAGGAGGCCGUGUACCAGAUGCAGGUCCCAAUCACUGGAAAGUGUACUGUUCUUUUUUUCUCAUAAUUUAUAUUUUAAAGGGAACAAAACCAAGGAAAAUAUACCAGAAUAAAGCCAAUCAAAACAAAACAGUGUAAGGGAUACAAUUUCAAAAUAAGAUAGUAAGAAAUCAACAGCAGUUACCAUAAUGCCUCUUAGAGUUUUCAAAACAAUUACCUAUAAUUUCAGAUAUACUCAAACAAAAAAAAAAAAACAAAAUAGAACCAAUGAAAACAAACCAAUGAACACAAUAAAGUAUUUCAAGCUAAUAGUACAUCCAAAAUAGCUACCAUAAUAUGUCUUGUUAUCGUUGAGAUAGCUGCCCAUGCCAUCAGAUACAAUAAAAUCAAACAAGAUAAAACCAAACAAAAUAAUGAAAAUGAUACAGGACUUUGACAGUGAUAAUAGGGAAUUGGCCAUGGCUACUGCCUUCAGAAGGAGAUGCCCCAUAGAUGCUACAUUGUGUAUUGUUAUCUUCUGAAAAGAUGAUCAGAUUACUGGCUUUAGGCCUGCAAGUCAGUGAAAUACUGAACACUACAAGCAUUAAGUUAUAUUUUACCUCAGUAGCUAUCAUCACAUCCUGUAUUUCUUUGGAUCAGCACGUUGCUUAUGAAGGAGGGGCAGGGGAAAACAUUGACUCUUCUUGUCUCCCUGCCCACAUACCAGAAGGGGCUGGCAUCUAGUUCGCCCUGCAAUGACCACAUAUGGCACUGACUCAUAAGAAGUGCUUGGUUCCUUAUUGGCUUCUUGUUCCCUUCCCCCAUGCUCUGUAAAUGGUGCCACUCACAGGAAAGGGCUGGCAUCUGGUUUUCCCGCAGUGGUCUGCACAUGGUGCUGACUUGCAGGGAGAGCUUGGCUUCUUGUUCUAGUGUACUGUUCUAAACAUCUCUCAAACCAGUCAAGUUGAAAGUCAUGAUUAGCUUUUACAUACUGGGGCAUCUAAACUGGCCAAAAAGGGAGGAAAUAAAGGUUGUAAAGGUCUGGAGUUGGAGAUGACUUGCUAUGGCAUCAUAUAGUAAAUAUAGUUAUGUCCGGCACACUCAAACCUUCAUACAUGAAAAUAGCCUUUUAAAUUAAAAAGUUCAAAUUUCAUGAACACAGUGAAGAAAUAUAUAGCCUAGUUAUUGUAAUGCAGUAUGUUAAUUAUUUGCUUGUAAGAAUAUGCACAGGAUGAAGAAGUAUAGGGUGACUUACUUUCUGUGUGGAGGAGUCCACAGAAGUUUUCUACAGGAGAUAAUGUGUGUGCAGUCUUGGAUGACAUUGUUCAUGAGAGCCAGUUCAUUGUUCAGAGAGCCAGCAGAAAAGGACUUUUGCGAAUGAUUCAAAGAAAUACUAACAGUGAAAGAGGUUGGUGAUUCUUUGAAAGUACAACUAAUUUGGUAUAGUUUUCUUAUGGAGGGGCAAGAAGGAUUGGAGAUAGGACAGCAAUUGAAAAAUGAGGGAAUCCUGAGAAGCCUUUUUGGUCAGCAUGCUUCAAUAAUAUUGUGCUUUUGGAUUCCUUAUAUUCUAAUAAGAUGUCUUCAUUAAUUUUAAAUAACAGCUUAUCUAAUGUUGGUGCAUGAUAGUUUUAGAUAAAGACAUGAUUACUGUAAAGAGGAAAUCAAAAUAUAAUGUUUCAUUUAUUUCAGAAUUAAUCGUUUUAAAUGAACUAAGUAAUACAUAGAAUUUUCUAUAAUUCCUAUGUACAUUUUGCCAGUUAAAAUGUUAAUACUUUAUAUUAAUAUUGCAUUUUUAUAUCAAUAUUAAUGUUUUAAUAUUUCAAAUUUGGACUAAACUCAAUGGCCUGUGUUUAUGGUGUUCAUAUCUAUUUCUAAGUGAUGAAAUUAAUGAAGUUUCAGGUGUUUAUCUGAGAAUAACAUAAUUUGGUAUUGAAAUCCCUUCCCACCAAAUAAGUGGUUAAUACUCCCUUUUCUGUAAUUUAUCUUUUCAAUGUGACUUUAUAUUUGCUAGUUUUCAUGAUUCAUACUUUAAUUAGUGGCCAUUUGUGGGUGAAUUUGUAGUACUGUGUGACUGAGAUCAUUUUCACCCAGCCCCAUGAUUCCUGACCGAGACAGGCUGUCUGAGAAUUCACUUUAUCUGAUUUGCAGGCUGUGGCCUCCAUGUUAAAGGGAAACUUUAGAUUCUUUCUAUGAAUGUAUUUAAAAGCUAUAAAUUAAAAUUCAAAAUGAGAAGGAUUUUUUAAGGUUAUAAAUUUAAUUUUCAGUGUUCUCUAGAUACACAAGGGUCUUGGAGAACCAUUGUUAAAAUUAAUUAGAAAAAAUAAUAGAUUUUAGAAAAUAAGAAUGUAAUGUAAUUCAUAUUUUAUAAUGCCUUUUCCAGAGGCUGUGGAGACUAGGGUCAGAAAUGCCAGUUAAAAAUAGUUGUGGUAGACUAGGAUAAGAAAACAAAGAUUUCUGAGAAAAUCUUAAGCUUGAUUAAGAUCUGGUAACUUGGUAUAGUAAUUGUUGGGUAGGUUGUUUUUAUUCCAGACCCUUAGGAAUUUGUGAUCGAAGCAAAAGCCUAUUGUCAUGUUUUUGGGAAAAGAAGAAUUAACUCAAAUUUAUUUAUUAAAGUGAUUAUUCUAGGGGAUAGGAGUAUAGCUUAGUGGCAAAGUGCCUGCUUGGCAAGUGUGAGGUCAUGAGUUUGAUUCCAGUACCAAAAAAAAAAAAAGUUUAUUGUUGCAGCAAGAUGACAAACAGUGGUUGGAAAGGGCAGCAGUUGACAAACAGGGAUGAGUUAGGACAUUACUGUCAUUAUCAAUGAGUGACACUCUGCCAAAUAAUUGCAGUGAUUUAGAAUAAGGUCAAUGGACAUUACAGGAUCAUAUGCUGAGUAUGACCCUUCCAGAAGUGUCUUCCUACUGAGCUCCUAGCUGAUUUUGCUGGAGCUCAUCUCACAUCGAAUCUGACCACCCAGGCAGACUAAGUGCAGUUGUACCACGUGUCCCUUCCUGGAACAUGCAGUUCUCUGUUUAUUUUGUGAGGAACAAGAGUAAUUUCCUCAGAGUAUUCUAGUAGUAACCAGAGAGCUAAUGUAAUGGCCUCUUAUACAUUCUUAUCUCGACAGAUGAAUGGAUUUCUAAAUUUAGUGCAAGUGAACAAUGAAAUACUAUGCUGAAAAUCAGUCAUAGGCAACAAUGUGGAUGAAAUUAGACUAUGUUCAGUUACAUUAAAUAAGUUAGGCAAAGAGUAACAAAUACUCUUUGCCUAUACAUUCUUAUCUCUUGGUGGUGAGAAGGGGUAUCUGUUUUAUCCUCUACCUUUGAUCUGUUCAGAAUAUUCUUCCUCUCUUGAUUUUUUUUUCAAGAGAAAUGCCAUAAAAAUGCUGUUUUCAUCUCUGUUAGCUCAGUAUGUCAGUGGUCCAAACCACUCUCUCAGUAUUUUUAAAAUGUGCUUUGUUGCUCUGGAUCUUGGACUCCUUGGAAGCAUAAGUUAUGGCAACAGACUUAGCAUUCUGGGCAAAGUAUGAGAGUAAAAGCAGUGCUGGAAAGAUGCUAACGAGCAGAGAUAGCCCGUGGGCUGUCUCCUGGCUGUGUGUGGCGUGGCACUAAGAAUUUCUCCCUUAAUCAGACGUGGGCCAGUCUUUGUGGUUGAGGAGGGAAAUGGAGUCACCAUGCUCUUGGCCUCACUGAGCUGAAAAUGCUGGAAAACAAUUUGUGUUUCAAAAUUUCAAGGAAAUCUUAUCAGAGCUGGAAAAGAGAAAGAGAGAAAAUGUCAAAGAAAUUGGCAGUUAUUAGUUCUAUUUGUACAAUGUUUCUUGCUUUCUUAUUUCAAAAUACAAGAUUGAAUUGAAUUUUCUGGCUGCCUCUGUAGUUGGAUGAGGUUGCAUUCUUAGUCUGGCCAGGGAGUUUCAGUCAGAAGUAAUGUGUAUGCUCUCAUUAUCAGUGUGACACUCUCUAGAGGCUCAGGUUCUAUCUUCCUUGGUGACCAGCAGCUAUCAAGCUGGUGGCUCCUUAUUCAUCUGUUGUUUCUGAGUAACAUGUCUGCCUCAGUGGAGAUGUCAUUUCUGGAAAGAAUUAACAUCUAUAGUUUAAGUCCAUUGACCUUUGUCUUUUUUUAUGCAACAUACAUGUCCUACUAAAUAAUUUGACUCCAUACUUACAAACUCUUUGAUCUUUUUAAUAUGUUAGGUAAAGCCUAUUAUCAUUGUACACUAGUGGGCUUUUCUCAUAAGGACAGUAGUUUAGCACCAGAUUCUGAUAACACUCCAAGAAGCCUUUUCUCCUACCACCACUGCUGGAAUUAAUUCUGUCUGUGAUUCUUACCAUCAGUCACUCCAGAAUAAAAGGCUGGGGCCUUUUAGUGGAUAGUACUUUUAUAAUAUGUACCUAUUUUAGAGCUGCUAAAAGCCAGGAGAGAAAAUAGCUGCCCUUUUUCAGAUUCUCUAAUGACAGGUAGACUUUCAUCUAUCCUGAGAUUUCACUUUAGCACAAUUCUAUUAGUCUAGGCUUAAAGGCAUAAAAAUGAAAAUAAAUAUAUUUUGUUUUAAUUUUAAAUAACUUAGCUCAUAUAAACUGUUAAAACUUACAGGGUAAAAUGUGGUGUUUCAAUGCAAGUGUACAUUGUAGAGUAGUGGCUUCAAAUUUGAUGUACUAAUUAGUAUAUGUAGCAUUUUAAAUGUCUAUUAUUUCUUUACUGUGUGAACAUUUAAAAUCCAUUAUUUCAGCUAUUUUGAAAUAUUCAGAACAUUAACUGUAUUUGCCAUGCUGUGAAAUGUAAUACGAGAGCUUACUCUUUCUACUGUAACUGUACCUACUACCUAAUAUCUCCACAUUCUUCAUCUACCUCACAUCUAACUCCCACCUACUGCCUUUCUACACUUGUAUGUCUCAGAAUUGGUUUUCAUUACACAUAUAAAUGAGAUGGUGCAGUAUUUGUUACUCUUUGCCUAACUUAUUUAAUAUAACUGAACAUAGUCUAAUUUCAUCCACAUUGUUGCCUAUGACUGAUUUUCAGCAUAGUAUUUCAUUGUUCACUUGCACUAAAUUUAGAAAUACAUUCAUCUGUGGAUGGACACUGCCUUGGUUACUUUUCUCUUGUUGCUGAGACAAAAUACCCAACACCCCAAAUUAAGGAAGGAAAGGUUUAUUUAGCUCACGGUUUGUGGAAGUUUCAGUCCAAAAUCAGCUGGCUCCCAGGCAAGGUGGUAACAAUUCAGUAAGGCAAAGUUCAAGAUGACAGAAGACAGCAAUGCAGCAAGAGCAAAAGGGAUGAAAAAGCUUCUUUUCCUGCCUUAUAUUAUACACAGGUCUCUCCUGCCAUUCCCAGGGUAGGUUUUGUUCACAAAAUCUCUUUGCCCUCCUCUUGCAUAGGAUGAGUCUAUUUAAAAAAUAAGGCCUCUGGCUGUUUGUUGAAUAAUUUAAACUUCUAAGCUUCUCAGAUAGAUACAGUUUCAGCAACAGCAGGCUCUUAGAUUGUUCUGCAUAUUGGCUACUUGUGAGUAGUACUGUGGUGGAACAUGGUAGUACAGACAUCUCUUUCACAGAUUUUACUUCCUUUUUUGUAUAGAACCCAUAGUGGGACUGUUGACAAAUCUUAAAGCCCUACAGAACCAGAAGUGCUAUUAAGUGUCCCACACAAAAAGUAGCGAACUUCAUCCCAGAAAUCAGGAUGAAUUAAUGAAGUUGAUGUAUGUAAGAAGCAGAAGCAUGUCCACUAAAUCAAGAACAGGUGCUAGCUGUCUUUCCUUGCUAUUUAUAUUUUGUAACCGUGUGGGAGGACAAGGUUGAGACCUGUUUUUUUAUGACAGAAAUUUUGAAAAUGAUGCUGUUCUCCAGAUGAUUAUAUCUGAGAGUUUAGGUUUUUGCCAAGCUUCAUUUCCCUCUGUAACCUGUCACUGUUUCUUUAGCACUACAUUUUAACUCGAAUUUUGUAAGCAGAAUCAGAUUAAAUUUAGAUUAGAGUGCACCCUAAACUUAAAAUUUAUACUAACAUUCUCCAUAUAAAUAGUCCAAUUACAUAUGGGGGUAGGUACUAAGAUUUUCUGAUCCAUAACUGGUUAGAUUUUCCUGAUUAGUUAACAUUUUAGGUGGAAGCUGUUCUGUUUUCAGGGUAGUGGAUGUUUACUCCUGAUAUAUUUUUAAAUAUCUAAAUCAGCUUUUCUCUACACUGAAGUGUCUUUAAACUUAGUGUCUUUAAAAUAUGAUGCAAACAAAAAAUUUAAAAUGGGACUCAAUUAAAACCCCAAUUCAAAACUUGAGACUAGUUUAGUCAUGGUAGAACUCAUAUGUGGCUUCUAGUGAAUAUCUGCUGGUGCAGAAGAUUUCCUUUGUUCACAUUAAUACAUGUCAUCCAUCAGCUUUUCAGAGUAAGCUGUUUUUACAUGGGCUUAUUACUACUCUUCUAAGUUUGCUAAGAAAAAUAUUAUAUGGAAAAGUGGAAUUGGAUGGAAUCAUCUUUCUCAAGUUGGAUUUGUUAUUUUAGUUAUUUAAAGGAUAGGUUUUUUUUUUUUUUUUUGUACCUUGCAAGGGAAAGGGACUCAAAGCUUGAUCUUCAACUAGAAAUAAAUGUUGAUGGAAUUAUUUUGGAUCUUGAUACUUUAGAGAGUAUAGGGGGACACAAAAUAUAUACUGGAUGACACAUGUUCAUUUAAAAAACACAAAUUAUAAAUUUGGAAUGUUUAUAGAAGUUGAUUUAAGGAAGUCAGGUUUAUGAUAUUUUCAAUUUUGUGAUAGUAUUCUGUCAGUGAGGUGGUGGUAUAUAAUAGCAAUAGCAGUAAUGCUAUUCGAUGUUACUUUUCAGGAAAGGACAUUUUGCUGUUAAGUAUGUUAUGGUUUGUACUGGAGCGAGGAGCAAGAAACACUGGUUAGUACCAUCACUGUAGUGACAGGCAGCCUCAAGUAGGGCUAACUUGAGAACAUGUGGAUUAAUCUGUGAAUAUACCCCACAUUAGCCUUUGUUUAUGUGUUUAUAUAACACUUAAAAGAUUAUUUUAAAAAUAAAAAUACUUUAUAAUAAGAUUCUUAAAAAUUACCUGUGAAUUACAUCUUUUGUUUUAAAGAAUAUACCAUAAAAGAACAUAGCACUGUUGUUUAGCAAGUGUGUUUUGAAUAGAUUUAUAUAAAAUUUAUGUAAAACUCUUUGAACCAUACAGUUUCUUCCCAAACAAUUCUUCUGUCUUGAACAUAAACAUAGUUCUUUUCUAAACUAAAGAAAGGCAUAGCAUUGAGUUAUAUGCAAGUUUCAAUUUUUUUUCACUUUAAAACUAGCACAAAAGGUAUCAAAUCAUCAGUGAUGCUUCUCUAAGUUUAAUCUUGUGUAGUCAGUCUAAUUGCUAAGUUCUAUUUCUUAACAUCAAAUUCUAAUGAUUUCUUCCACUCUGUGUCCUUAACUUACAUCUGUAAACUUGAUACCCUAUUCAAGUUAUUGUCCACUUCAAGUCCUAAGGCUUUGGACUUCCAGUAAGCACUUAAGCUUACACUGACAGACCUGGUAAGCACAUAGAAAGAGAGUAUGUUGUGUAUUAUUUCUUUGUCUUUGUAGGUUAUUUCUAUUUUAAGUGAGCCUAGCCUCUGGAUAAUAUGAUAAAAAAUACUCUACCAUUCAUUGAGUGUGUUUUCCAAAUAUAAAUGUCUUACUAUAUCUGGUUUAUCUGAGAGAAUGUCAAAUAUGGUGAUGCAUUUAUGAGGUUAUACAUAGAACGUAUCUAGAAGGAAACAAAUAUUUCAAAAAUAAUUUUCACUUAAAAGAUUUAAAAAUAUUUAAAUAUCCAGUGGUUUGGAAAGAUCUUAAAAUCUGUUUAUAUAAAGCCUGAAUUAUUCCUUUUAAUCUAUUAACUGAUUUUCUAUUAUCAGUUUAUUUUUGAAUAUUAACUGUAUGGAAUAUCUAAUGUAUGAUUAAAUAAUUCAGAAUUGUGGCAUGAUUUUGAACAGGAAACAGUAAAAUUGUGAUAAAAUGAAAAGACAUUAGUGUCAUCAAGAAAUCAGGUAAUAUCAAAUGCUGCCAAUGCUGUGGGUGAAAAGGAGCCCUUCUUCAUUGUUGAUGGGAGUGGAAACUGGUAUCAGCACUGUGUGAAUCAGUAUAUAGAUUCCGCAAAAUACUUAAAACAGAAAUCACAUUGAAUGGAGUAUUCUCAUUCUACAACUUUUACUGGAAGAGUUAAAUACAUCAUAGUACAGGCAUACAGGCAUACUCAUAGAGGAAUAGCUCAUAAUAGCUAAAUCAUAGAGACCUGUAUGCCAAUGAGCAGAUGAAUGGGAAAAGUAACUGUGGCAUGUAUAUACAAUGGAAUAUUACUCUGCCAUAAAAAAGAUAAAUUUGGGUCAUUUAUAAAAAGAUAGAAAAGGAUGUACCUGGCUAACAUAAUGUUAAUUGAAGGGCAAGCUUUAAUGGAGUGUGAUUUCUUUUAUAUGGGGAACCCAAAGCAUAAAUAGCAAAAUAAAAGAAGAUAACAAAACAAAGGGAGAUAGAUCUUUUGCAGAAGGGAAGAAAGGUGACCCCAAGAGAUGUAGAGAAGGAUGAGGGAAGGGAUGGGGAGGAGAUGAGAGGAGACUGAAGAUGUAUUAUGUACAUGAGCCAGCUCACCACAAUCAGUGUAAUCAUUAUGCACUGCAAACAUGGGCUAAUAAAAACAAAAAUUAAAAGAAUAACAGAUCACCUGGUGAGGACAAAGUAAAACUGUGCUUGCCUAUAAUCAUUUGUGGGGUAUAUAUAAUAAUUUUAACAGAACCAAGCUAUUGAAGUGUAAGAAACUUUAAGAGUACUUUUAGGGAAGAGGUAGAAAGCAUGAAUGAUCAAAACAGGUAGCAAGAAAGAGAAUAAAAUCAGCUGAAAUAGAAAGUCAACUAAAGUGAUCCCAGCAGGCAUAAUUAUAUUUUCAGGGAAGUGAAUCCCCAACUCCUCUAGUCAGCGUGAGACUGAUUAAAGGGAAUGUAAAAUAUAGUCCACUUAAGGCCAAGUUUGAACAUCUAUAGAUAAAGAAGUCUGCAUACUGUACAUUUCGUGAAGCUAUUUUUAUUUUUCAGGUCACUACUGUCCAGCAAAGAAAUUAGUAUAAUGGAAAGAUGAAUAUUUUUAAAGUAGUAAAUUUUUAAAUGAGGAAAAUGACUUUAAAAAGAAAACGAAUUUUCCUGUUUUAAUGAGCUUUUUCUUUAGAUAUUAUAACUAAGUGGCCCCAAUUUGAAAAGUGUAGUUGCUUUCUACAAAUAUAAUCAAUCUUUGAGACUACAGGGUGAGCUCCAAUAGGAGACUUAGCAGUUGGGUGGGCAGCAGUGUCAGUGUUAGUGUCAUGCUAUGCUCUUUUUACUUGUAUGCAGGGUGGCUUCUGAGGCCACAUAGAGGCUUCCUCUCCAGCUGGAAUGCAGUGAAGUUCUUACACGUGUAACUUUGUUAAUGCCCUACUAGCAUCAGUUCAAGACUAGGUUACUGUCCUCAGUAGUUUGUGCUAAAAGACUAAAAGUUAUUUGUGUGUGUGUGUGUGUGUGUGUGUGUGUGUUUUGCUGUUGUCCUUGCUUUAACUUCCUUGCAAUCAUCAGUAAAAUUCAAAUGAUGAACCUAAGGUGAAAACUGACAUGUUAGCUAUAUCUAUGCUUGAUCAGGCCUUCCUGAUUUUAUUCCCAACAAAAGGGAGCCCAGUACAUGCCUGUAUGUCUGUGAUAGUUUAUAGAUUAAGAGGUUUGGUUGGCCUGAAGAGUAGCACAGUGACUUCUGUAGCAUCUGUUUCCCUGACUCAGAACAGACUUCAUUGCAGUUCCAGGAUAUAUAAUGAAAUCUAGUGAUAGUUAGUUAACUUGUUACUAACUGAUGGUGUAGGGGAAUUGUCUGAAGUGUAAGUAGUGAAUUCAUAAAAUUUCUUAUAAUAUUUCAGAGUAAAAUUGUAGAAAUAUUGAUCUAUGUGUUCUCAAUGAAGACAAAAUCACGAAGUUUAAAUCUAUCUGCACUGUAAUGAUUUCACAGUGUAUACCUGUCUCAAAACAUGAUGUCAUACACUGUGAAUGCAUACAGUUUUGUUAGCAAUCAUCAUUUAAAAAAAAACACUGACCCUUAGCAGUAACCUCGGAAUGUAAUGUGGAUAAUUUUCCAAGCAGUUUGUUUCAAAGUAGAUUAACAAAUAAAAGAAAACAUUGGAAAGACACAUAGUGCUUGUUUUUACACCAUAAAUAUGAUUUAUUAGAAUUUAUUAGAAAAUACCCCUUACACUGAUGCAGUAGGUCUUUAUGUAACAUAUUAAAAACUAGUGCUCUUGUGACAAUAGAAGAAAGAGGAGUUUAAAACUUUCCUAUCUGGAGAUACAGGAAAAUAUUUUUCUGAUUCAUUUUACUAUUCUAAUUGUUUUACUAAGCCAAAUAUAUUUGGAAAAGUGAGGUAGAUAUAAAACAUUGCAUACUUUUGCACAUUUGAUAUGUGACAAUGAUGCACUAUUCUUUCAGUAGAUUGAGAAUUCAAUUUCAUUAAUUUAUCUAGACUGUCCACUUGACUCAGUCAUUCUAAGAUGGGGACUAUUUCUUGCAUAUGGUAUGUCAAGAAAAAAAAUUAUAGUAGUAGCUUCAGUCAUUUCUCUAUCCCAUAUUUAACUGCAGUGCAGUUACUGUUGCUGGUGUAAUUGAAGCUACAAAUGGAUGCAGUCUUAAUGUCUGUCCACAGACUGUUCUCAAAUUGCUCCUAGGCCUUUUGUUGGACUGGCUCAGUUGAGGUGAUGGGAAUGUCAGCGGUGGUAUGUUGGGUCUCGUAUCUCACCUAUAUGGCAGCAGUCUUGCGUCCUUGAUGUUGGUGUGGUGCUCAUAGGGUGGACAACAGCUCCUGGCUCCUGCCUGUCAGAGCCAACUACUAGUAUCUUUUAACCUGGUUUGUCUUUCCUAGUCUCAACCAAUAGAAUGAAGUUCUCUUUAUUUUAACUUCAACAUUUUUAUCAUGUGUAAGAAAACAGUAUUUAACCCAUUUCCCAUUUAGGAAAAAGUGCAGCUUGCUGCCAAUGUUCAUUUAAUUUUCAGUGAUCUAGAAGAACUAUAUUUUAUGAAUGAAAAUGCUACUAAAAAGAGUGCUAUAAAUAGAAAGAUAUGUUUGCAAAGAAUACCAGUACACUAUAGCAAUACAAAAGUAACAAUAAAACCGUGGUAUUUUGUGUCAGACUUUGAAAGUAAGGUUAGGACAAUAAUCUACAAAUUCCUAAGGGUAAACGCUGUAGCCACAAGUGCUGCCAGUGUGUAUUCUGUAGCAAAUGGGAAUACAAAUAAAACUGUUAUUCCAAUAACAUCUCAUUAAAAAACAUUAUAUAUUGUUUGUGGUAAACUAUUUUUAUUAAAACUACUCAGAAACAACCUAAAAGAAUCAUUUCUUAAAUUUACUGAUCUCAUUCAUGCUCAAAAUUGUAAGGUAAUUUUGGAUAUUUACCAAAAGAUAAAUUAACAGAUUAUUUUUUGCCUCACAUAGCAUGUGAUAACGUAGAAACCACUAAGUUCUCUCCCAUGCAACAGUUAUCUACUAAUUGCCAUUGUACAAAGUAGAGUAAUGCUUCUCAAAAUUGGGAAAAAAAAAAGAACAUACUCUUGUGGAAUUAAUUGGAUGUGCUAUGCAUAGAUGUAUUCAUCUCAAUUAUCAUUUGUGAGAUUAGGAAAUAUUUAAGCAAAAGAUUCUUGAAUAGAAAUAAUUAUUCAAAAAUGUGUCUUUCUUUAAAUAGAUUUAGGGACACAUGGUCUGAAAAAAAAAACCAUUUAUAUAUUUUGGACUCUUGGGAAUUGUAUAAUCUUAAAGCCAAAAGUCAGUUUCCCCAAAAAUAUGUGCAUCAAAAUUUUUGCCAGUCAUUCACAAUUUGACUUGGUCAGAUAACAUAGUGGUAAGUAGAAUCUAAAGGGCCAUAUUUGUUAAGUUCGUAUUUUUUAUUGCUUAUUAGACAUUGUACCAAAACCCAGGUUUUUGGGUUUUUUUUUUUUUUUUUUUUUUGGUCUUUUUUGUUUUUAUCGGUACCAGGAAUCAAACUCACAACUGCCUGUUUGCAAGGCAGGCGCUUAUGCCACUGAGCUAAAUCCCCAGACCCCAAAACCCAGGUUUAAUUGGGUGGCAUGUUUGGUUGAGAUAUUUUAAAUGCUCAGUUUUUUGGGUGAAACAAUUUAUAGUCACUAGGAAUUCUAUUGGCAAUAGGAAAUGCAUUAACUCACUCCACAUGGAUUUGCAGUUAAAAAAUCAGCCUUCUAGAUUCUUACAUAUUUGCACAGUCAUAUUAAGUUUUUCAUCUUUGAUAAAAAUUUGGCCAAAUCCAAAUGUUUUCUAAGAUAAUUGCGGAAAACUUUUUAAAAUAAAAUUGUGAAAACUGUAGUGGCCACCCUGAACAUUAUGAAAAGUUAAACUUUCUCAUUUUAAAUGUUUCAUUUUAUAAUUUUAUUGACACACUUUGCCAUGCUCUAUAUAAUACUGGAUGAUUUUAAAUAAAAUGUUCCAGCAGUCAUUAAGUUAGGGUCAGUUGGCUGUGAUUUCAGCCUUAAAAAGUAAGAUGUCAUUCAUUCCAGUCCAGUUUGGCUUCAUUUUGCUUAUUCUAACAUCACAAGAACAGCUAUGUGCUUAUAUUUCUUACACAUUUUUCUAAGGUUAGUAAUACAGUUUGCACAAAUGACAGCAUUGGGUUCCAGACCUUUUUAAGUGACAUAACUGCAAUUUUCCUUUCUGAUCUAUACAGCACACAGUACCUACUUUUCCCAGAAUAACUUUUUUUUUUUAAAUGGAAAUUUCCUUGGGGAAAAUACAUGCUUAUCAGUAGUUAGAGCUGUCUUCUUGAGCAGUCUUCAAAGCUGAAGUAAAUAAGAUGUGAAGUUUAACUUCCCAGUAGGAUUUUUUUUUUUUUUUUACUUUUUCAUUUUUAUCGGUACCAGGGAUCGAACUCACGACAGCCUGAUUGCAAGGCAGGUGCUUACGCCACUGAGCUAAAUCCCCAACCCCCUCCCAGUAGGAUUUAAUUCAGAAUUUGCUGACCGAAUACAAAUGUUCAUAACCUUCUGUCAUAAGAUUUGCUCAUUAUCUUGGUCCAGUUCAGAAGAUUAGGUGUAAAAUAUUAUAAAAUUCAAAAUUAAUAGCUUAAAAAAGUACCAGCUUAAAUAUUUUAUUGUUAAAAAGAAAUGUGUAUGACUCUGGUUCAGGAUUUAUACAUUUCGCACUGUGCGAGAUCAGGCAGUUAAAUGACACUUCAUAAGAUCAAUUUAAUUUAAAAAUAAGGUUCAAAAUCAUAAUAUUAAGGUAAUUGAUUUUUAGUGUUAUUUCAGGAAAAGAUCCAUGUAAAGUUAUGUAAACUUUUAAAGUCUUAAUUUUUAUGGCUACUUUUUAGUAUCCUUCAGUAAGAAAACUGAAAUGCCUCCAACAUCUAUCUGAGAGAUCACUUUGGCUCUUUAUCAACUUUUGUGGUUUGUGUUUCAGAUGUGCUUCCCCCACCCCCAACCCCCAUAGAGUCAUGGAAGCAGCUGAAUCGAACAUUUGCGAUUGGUUCCUUGGCAAGCCCUGGGAUUGGCAGUUUGGUGUUUGGGGUGGCCAUGAAUGACUCUCCUUCAGCCACUCCACCCUGCCUUGGAACCAGUUGAGUAUGGACUGAAAUCUCCAAAAAACUUUCAGAUAAGUAAACCUUCCCUUGCUUCACUUGGAUGUCAGGUAUUUUGUCUCAACAAUCAGAGAAAAGUAAUCAGGACACCUCCUCUUGCUCUAUGAACUGCUCCAUUUUGCUUAUUGAUAAUUUCUUCUCUUGUUAUUCAAAAAAUCAGAGACACAUCUAUCACAGUUUUUAGAUACUUGGUAUUUAAUAUAAGACCAACUGUCUUUAAAUAUGGAUGAUUUUUUUUCUUACUAUCUGUGCUUAUGAUAGUUUUAACUUCUUUGAGCUUUCAGUUUCAAUAUAUUAAUUGGUAAUGUGGAGUUAGUAAUAGAAUUUUUAUUUUAGAAAAUAGGUUUCAAAUAGUCAAUAAAUUAAUGCAGGUAAAGUAUGUUUAAUUAAAUGUUAGAGAAAUUAUUCAAAGUUGACAGCUAAAAUUAAUAAUUACAAUAUAGGAUUUAAAUACAAGACUCAGCUGAAAUUCUAAGACCAGGAACAGUAUGUAGAUGCCAAGAGCAGCACAUCUUCAAAUGAAGUAUUGGAGGCAGUGAUGAACUAGGACACACAUGCCACAGCAGGCUCUUUGUAUCACUACAAGCUCCAAAAGGUUCAUCACCACUAUGCUAGACCAUUCCCUUGGAAACUUAUAGUGAAAGUUUUCAGGCUAUCUUCUCAGCAUUAGAGAUGCACCUUUCCAACUCUUAUGUUUUAUUAGUAAAUGUUUAUGAUGCAUAAUGGAUACAUUUCAUCCUGCAGAGUCAUUACAUGUAUAUACCCACAUCAGGAACCUUUUCAUUUCUCUUUUCCCCCACUCUCCUCCGCCUUCCUUCAUCCAUUGAUCCUCUUCCCAUCUGCAAGGUAUCUACCUCCCCAUUUCCUGUGAUCCUUUAUUUUGCUCUUUGAAUUAUUUGUUCUUUGAAUUUCUCAUGUAAAACAUGUGAGGCUCAAGCUUUCAUGACGGAAUUAUUUCAUUAGUUUUGUGGUUUCAAGGUAUAUCUUUUCUUACAAAUGACUCAAAUUUAUCCUGUUUUAUGCCUGAGUAGUAGUCCGAUAGAUCGAUAGAUCCAUUGAUUGAGCUGUCAUUCAUGAUUGAAUUCUGACGAUUGGAAGGAAUUGCAUUUUGUGGGUGAAAAAAUGUUUUACAGCAGAGAAUACCUAGGAAGUGAAUCAAAUGUUAAUUUAACAUCAUUCACUAUAAUUAUAGAAACAUGUUAUGUUGGAGCUUUUGGUGCGCUGAAACAGGAAAAAAAAAAGGCAGAUUCAAGGUUUUACCACAAAGAAGCUCCUUGGCUGGAUACAAAAUCAAUACUCAAAAAUCAAUAGCAUUUCUAUACAGUAACAACAAAAUCACAGAGAAAUGAGAGAAGUCACACCCUUCACAAUAGCAACUAAAAAAAUGAAAUACUGAGGAGUUAUUCUCAUGAAAGAAGAGAAAGAUCUAUAUAAGGAAAAUUAUAAUACACUGAAAAAAAGAAUUUGAAGAGGAUCUCAGAAAAUGGAAAGACUUCCCUUGCUAAUGGAUAGGAAGAAUAUAUAUUGUGAAAAUGGCCAUUCUCCCAAUACUAUUAUACAUAUUCAAUGCAAUCCCAAUAAAAAUACCAUCAAAAAGAUCUCAAAAAAUCACUCCUAAAAUUCAUCUGGCACCAGAAGAGACCUACAAUAACAGAGACAGUUCUAAGCACCAAAGGCAAGGCAGGAGGCAUCAUAAUCCCUGACUUGAAGUUAUACUACAAAUCAACCUUAGUGAAAUCAAUAUGGUACUAGAAUAAAAACAGAGCUGAAGAUCAAUGCAAUAGACUGGAAGAUACAACCACAACUACAAACACACUCAAAUAUCUUAUCUUUGAUUAAAGGGGCCAAACAGGUUCACUGGAUGAAUGACAGUCUCUUUAAUAAAUGGUGUUGGAAAAACUGGCUCUCCAUAUGCCAAAAACUAAAACUAGACCCAUGCCUGUGGCCAAAUACUAAAUUAAAAUCUAAAUGGAUCAAAUAUCUGAAUAUUAAAGCAGAAACACUAAAUCUAUUAGAAAACAAUUUGGGUAAAAACCUUGAAGACACAGGGAUAAGUAGAGAAUUCAUGAAUAGGAAUCAAACUGCACGGGAAAUACUUCCCAGAAUCAAUAACUGGGAUCAUGUCUUAUUAUAAAGUUUCUGCAUGUCAAAAGAAAUCUCUAGCAUAGUGAAAAGAAAACCUAUAAACUGGGAGACAAUCCUAGUGAACUGUCCCUCAGAUGAAGGACUUCUGUCUAAAACAUAUAAAGAAUUUUAAAAAAUCAGACCACCAAAAUUCAAGGAUCUAAUCCAAAAAUGGACAUCUGAGAUUCUCAGAUGAAGAAAUACAAAUGGCAAAUAAAUACAUGAAAAAAAUGUUCAUUAUCAUUACUCCUUAGAGAAAUGCAAAUUAAAAGCACACUAAGAUUCCAUCACACUCCAGAAAGAAUUGCCAGGAUAAAGGAAACUACCAAUAACACAUGCUGAAGAGGCUGAAGGGAAAAAGGAACUCUUCUGCACUGUUGGUGGGUGUGUAGACUGGUGCAACAUUUAUGGAGGUCAGUCUGGAGAUUUCCCAGAAAGUUGGGAUUGGAAGUCCUAUUUGUUACAGCUAUUCCACUUCUAGGCAUAUUCCCAGAAGAACUGAAAACAUCAUACCACAGUGAUAUAUGUGCACCCAUGUUUGUAGCAGCACAAUUUGUAAUAGCCAGAUCUUGGAAACAACCUAUGUGUCCAUCAACUGAGGAAUGGAUAAAAAAGCUGUGGUAUUUUUAUACAAUGGAGUACUACUUGGCUAUAAAGAAUGAUCACAUUGAGAUAUUUAUAAAUAAAUGGGCACAGCUUGAGACCAUUCUCAUAAGUGAAAUAAAUCAAGCUCACAUGUAUAAACACUGAAGAGUUUUCCUAGUGUAAGAAAUGGUAAGAAUACAUAAAAGUAUGUGGUAAACAUGAUUCCCCAUUAUAUUGCUUUGAAGCCUUAAAAUGUUCUCAUUAAUUAGUUACGAUGGUUUCAUUCUGGGUUUAUAUUAGUGGCUGUGAUGGUAUGAACAGCUAUUUUGAAGAAAACAGGACAUGAUAAUAGCUGGUGAUGAUUUAAUAUCAUCUUGUUUUGAAGUCCCACCAAGCUUAUGUUCUUCUGUCUCCAUAGGUUUUUAUCACAUUGUAUCUUACUGGAUUUUAUUAUAUGUGAUAGGUAUAAACAAAAAUUAUUAUAGACAAGGAGAUAAUAUCAUAACCAUUGUUCAUUUUCUGUUAGUUGGUUCUGAAUACCCUGUAAUACUUUCAUUCUCUUAAAUGGCUUCACACUGUCUUUUUAUGUUUGAUACUAUAGUAUAUGAAGGUAUACUCAAAUAUUUCAAGGAAAGAGACACUAUGGUAGCUAAUGUUAUGUCGGAUUGUCUUGUGGUGAAACACUAUGUUGCCUAAAUUGUUCUUUUCUGACCUGUGUUAUUAUGCCCUCUUUUAUCUUAAUCUUUUUUACAAUUAAAAAUGCAAAUAAAACUAGAAAUACAUUUUCUAUAUCUAAGUUAUGAAUUCUUAAGAGAGGCACUGUCCUGGAUCAUCUAGAGAGUCUUGCCUGAAGUGCUCAUUUGGCUUCUUGGGUGUACGAUGUACUCUGGGAGCUGAGGAGAGAGAAAAAAAAAAAAAAACAACAACAACCAGAAGAGGUGAUGAAUUUAAUAGAACCUAAGUCUCUCAGCCAAAGAACUUCUCUGAGUGGCCAUUGCAGGGAGAGCCACCUUUGGCCAUCUUCUAAUCCUGAAAGGCAUCAAAUACUAAUCAAGACUACAGUAGUGAGGAAGCACCAUCUACUUAACCACUCACUUAAGCAGCUAAUUUUGGUAAGUCAGAAAUUGUAGCCAGGGAAUGGCAGGUAAAGAAGAAAAUCUCAAUACACAUCCAUUCCUCUCAUCCUGGUUUCCAGAUCUUAAGCAAAAUCAGAGGAGAUAGAGGAGAGAACUGCAAAGUUAUGUGAAGUUUGGUUGUUUUCUGGAACUAAAAAUCCAUGUGUUUUUAAUAUGAUAUUAUCUGAUUAAAAAAUGGGUUAAAUUAAUGAUGCUGCCUGUAAUUUCAUUGGAAUACAGGAUAAAACUAGUUCAAAAAUAUUGUUUAAAUUGGUAGGAGCAAAAAAUAAAAUUAAAAAUAUACUAAAUAAAUUAACAUUUAAAAUAAAUUAAAAUAAUAUGCAUGCCAAAAAUUUAAAAAUAAUUAGGGUAGUCAAAUAUGGCUUUAAUAACUAUGUGAUCUCAGGCAAGUGUCAUUUCAACCAGUGGAUUCUUGUAUUGAAUAAAUUUGAUAAAACUUUUUAUAUUUCCUGUUACAUUAUCUUAUAAAAUUAAUAAAAAUAUGCAAUUUUCAGUCAACUGUAUUUAAAUAAUUGAACUGAUAAGUGGUUAAGAAAGUCUUUAUAAAUAAAUGCAUAUUAUCAGAUUGCAAUUGUGUUUACUGACCCAGCAUUUUAAACCUAAGUUUCAUCAUUACUCCUGAUAAUACAGUAGGAAUAUUGUAUUGUAAAGUCUUACAUUUUAGAGCCAUUGUGGAGCAAGUGCACUGUUAGUCUUUGAGAAACACCAGAAAAAUUCAUUUUCCUCAACAGGAAUCUAAUACUACAUUAGACAAUGGGAAGAAUUUUUUCAAUUAGAAAGGGUACAAGAGAUGAGGGAUGAGGGAGGAAAAGAAGGGAAAAGAGAUUUUUAAAUAAAGAGUUGAAAGAAAAAACAGAAAUAGAGUUUUUGCAGUUAUGCAGGGGAAAAAGGGUAGGAUAGGGGAGAGGAAGGGUCAAAAGAAUUAAGAUGUGUUACCUGAUGCACAAAUUCUCCCUAAGGAAUGUGAUCACUCUGUACUAUAAAUGUGUACUAAUGGAAGAGGAAAGUCAGGCGCUAAAAAUAGAAUGCUCAGUGAAGUUUAAUAUUCAGAAUGGGAUAAAUUGAAAUUAUCUCUUUAAAUCACUCUGUUUUACUAGUUUAAGUCCAUUUACUGAGUGUUCCAGAUGCCUUGUUUGCCACAGUUUUACCUAAUUUAGUAUAGCAAUUUUAAACAUAGCUUGUUUAUGUGUCCCAAAACAACUUCUAAUCUGAGAUGGUUUGGUCCCCAUGAACCUGUUGUCUUCAGUCCCGUAUUUCUUUGAGUAUGUUGUGUGGUUCAUGACUUUAAAGAUAUGGACUUAAUAGAUGAUUGACGAAGGUGAUGAAGAACAGGCAGAUAAUUGUUGGUAUCUUGCACCAGUAUCUCAACUAACUUUCAUUGAAUAGUUAGGCAAAAUUAUUUACUUAACAGACUUUUAAGUGUUCUAUGAAGUCCCAGAAGACUGGAAUAUAGGAUAUAUCAGAUAAUUGCUAUUCAUCUCCUUGUCAAAUAAGUACAUAUUACUAAUUAUUGUCACUGUGAUUUAUUUGAUUAGAAAAAACACUUUUCAUAGAAAGAAUAUGAAAUCUGGGCUCUGUAGGAACAUUUAUAUUUCCUUCUGUGUACAACUUAUUCCUGUAUGUAGCAUAGGCAUGGCAUCAACACUUCAUAUCUACAAGUCAAUAAUAAUAAAUAAAAUGUUCAAUAUUUUGUCAUUUUUAAUGAAAAGUCAACUGGAUAGGAACUGUGUAAAAGACAAUCUUGUAAUAUCAAGGAGAAAGUGUCAAAUCAGUAAGAUUCCUAAGUUUAACUUAAAAAUGUAUUGAUUUCUAUAUUUAUUUAUAAAUGCUUUCAAAUACCAUUUAAUGUUGCUUUUCUUAGUCAUUAUCAAGCCCUAGUGUCCAUAAUUCACUGAUUAUUUUGUGUAUCAAUAUUUUGUGUACUCCAUGUUUUAUUCUAUUCUGGAUAGAUGAUACCUAGUGUUCAUAGUUUUUUUUUUUAUAUUGAGGGUAUUUUAUAGCUCAAUGUAAUAUAUGAUUCAUACAUUAGAUACUUCCUUGUGUGCCCAUUGAAAGUUAUAUUGUUUAAAGUACUGAAGCUCCUGAAUCAUGUUUCAAUAGUUUUUUUUUUUUCUUCCAUGAUUAGGAUUUCAAAGUUAUUAUUGUGGCAUGCCAGUGCAUUAAUUCUGUUAUUUCCUUUGCGCAAUAUUAUAUGGAAGUACAAAAUACUUUUAUAAUUUAUUGUUUUUGGACCAGUUAAUUUAUAAUCAUGGCACCUGAAUUAUUCCUUCGAUGUACUGUUCUCAAUGCUUUCCUGCUGUUCAACAUAGAAUAUAGUUUUUGUUAGUAUGUUCUGAGCUAAUCAUUUUAUUUUAUUGUUUUUGUAACCAACUUUAUUAGAGUUACUUUAUGGUGGUGUUGGUCCAAUAUGAAAAUAUUUCAUCUCAUCUUUAUAGUUUUUCAAGAUAGUGUCUAUUCCUUCCUAACUUGGUUUUAAAUGUUUUUGUUUUUAUUUUAUGAAACAAUAAAAUAAAAUUUCAUCAAAAAUAAUAAAGAAUAACAAAAUAAUAAUUAAAUAACAAUAGUGUAUCAUUCCCUUCAAAGUAGUUACCAGAGUACAAGUCAUCAACAAAAAGUAUUCUGUCUUACAAAGAGAGAAGAUAGCCAUUUUAAAUCCAUAUUUUAAUCCAUGUUUUGAAUAAGAAUAUAGUUCUAUAUAGCACUAAAUACACACAUAUGUAUUUGUAUAUAGUGCUGUAUAUGUGGUUAAUACAAAUUCCAUAGCUUUUCAUUUUCAUUUUGCAGUUCCAUUCAAUUUCUUGCUUUCUAAAAAAUACUUGUAAGAACAGUUGUAGGUUUACUGUAAAAUUGAAAAGCUGCUGUUAAUUUUAUAAACAAUCUUGGAGAAAAGUGUAUGGAGUAAAAAUAUAAUGUAGCUAUUAAGGAAAUUUGUCUAUCAAAACAGUUUUGCAAAUAAAUAUGGACUUCAUCAUAAAUAUUCAUGUUUUAUAUAGUUUGAUGUAGCACAUAAAUAAAAUUAUCCAUAUCAUUUGGGUAUAAAUUACUAAAGGUUCUAUAAGAAAUCACAUUUAGAAAACCAGGCUUGGUGAGGCAUGCCUGUAAUCCCAGGACUUGGAUGACUGAGUCAGGAGAAUUAUCACAAGUUUGAGGCCAACCUGGGCUCUAUAGUGAGUUCAUAACAAAAUAUUGUCUCAAAAAAUUACAUUUAGAUUAUGACAUAAAUAGUGACUCAGAUAUUGCUUGGAGGGUUGGUGAGGCAGGAGUAUUUUAGGUAGAAGGGAGUAUUAUGAGGGACUUUAUGGAAAGGUUAAAGGGCAAAGUGAAUUUAAGGAUUUGCUAGCAUUUAAGAAUGUGUAUGAUUAAGGUAACCAUUGUUGAUUUUCCUAUUGUCUUAUUUUGAAGACCUGUAAUGCUUUCAUUAUUUUGUUUUGAACGAUUUUAUACUUUUUUGUCAUUUUUGAGUUCAUUUGUGUGUGAAGAUAUGGACUGCUAUUUUGAAGAAAACAAGAGGCAUUAUGAUAGCUGCUGCUGAUUUCUUAUUGUCUUGUUUUGAAAUCCUGUGUUGUUUGCAUUGUUUUGUUCUGCUCUGCUUUAUUCUGUUUUGUUUUGUUCCAUUUUCUUUAAAAAAUUAAAAAGAGUGAUACAUUGAAUUUAAUGGGUUGAUGAGAUCAAAGGAUGUCUAGUUCAGUAAGAGAGGGGAUGGGUAGACAAGUUCACAAAAGACACGUGAAGGGUUAUUCUUGUACUUUCUACUUUCUGGAGCCUGCCCACUCUUGUUGGCUUGACUGCCUUACUCUAUGUUCAAGGCUAAGAGUGUGUAGGCUUGAAAAGAAAAAAAAAAGAAUAGAAAGAAGAGAAGAGAGAGGAGGAGAGGUGAGGGGAGGGAGGAGAGGAGCGGAAAAAAUGGCAAGUCUAGGCCUUGAAAUGCAUCUCUCUAUGUCUUUCUCCUGAAGUAACAUCUUCUGACUUUCUGUCUCUUGUAUUUAUUAUACCAUGUGCCCCUCCAUGUGAUAAGGAAUAAUCUCGCUAUUUGAUGGUUAGCUAAUUUGCAACCUUAUUUCAUACACAGCUUUAGUUUCCCUGUACUGUAAUCAAGUAUUCACAGGUCUCUUGGAUUAGGACGUGAGCAGCUUUGGAGUGUGGCCUUGUUCUCCCUACAACAUCCAGUCUAAAAAACUUAGAUUCAUUGUGUACAGUGAAGGAUACAUGCAGCAAGGGUGUCACUAUUGUUUGAAUAUGUUCUCUUCAAAAUUUAAGCUUUCUCAACAUUGUACUCUAAAGAGGUUGUGCUUUGAAGAGUUGAUUAGGCCUUGAAGCUCAUCCCAUAUAAAUCAGUUAAGGUUUCCUUACAAAUGAUCUAACUGAGGAUAUUGUUUCUGUUUUGUUCGCCUUCCAUCACAUGAGAAAGUAGGGAAACCCUAUCCAGAUUAUAAUGAUUUGACUGUGAAUUUUCUACCCUUCAGAAUUGUGCAAAAUAAUUUUCCACUUUUUUUUGUCUUUUUCCUUUUAUCGUUACAGGGGAUCAAACUCACUACUGCCUGCUUGCACAGCAGGCACUUAUGCCACUGAGCUAAAUUCCCAGCCCCAAUUUUCCACUUUUUAAAGCUUCCCAGCCUCUGGUGUUCUUAUUUAGUAGCACAAAAUAAAGUAACACAUAUGGGAUACUAGUUCAUCAUUGCAGUACUCAAGCAGAUACUGUGUGCAAGUAACUGAAUCAGGAGAUCAGGAGAUGAUGCACACUGACAGGAGAAUAGUGAGUUCAGACGUGGAUGUGUUAAUUCUGCAGGGGUUGUGAACUGUGCCUAAAGUAUAAGAGAGUGGAAUGAGGGAGAGAUACUGUUUUGGAAGUUGACAGUAAAGUAAAAAGUAGAUUUCUAAAAAUAUAUAAUGAAUAUUCUUUAAAAUAUGAUAGUUUUUGGGUUUUAAAUAUUGAUUGGUUAGAAGAAAACUUAAGAUAGAUUACUUGGAAUAUCAAUGAUUUUAAGUUUUAAAACUAUUAGUCAAUAAAAAUAAGGAGUGCAGUGUGUUUACCAUUCAAAAUGGCAGACAAAGUCAGAAACUAUCUGGCCUGCUAAUUGUGAAUUUUGUUCCUAAAGAUUUAUAUUCUUCCUGAAAUCAUCCAGAAGAUUUGUGAAUGUCAUUCUCUGUCCUUGUUCGACACUGUAUAGAAUCAGCCAUACAAUGUGACAGUCCUUGGGGAGAAAAAAUACAUAUAUUUUAUAGUUGAAGUAAAUUUUAACAUGAAACAAUUUUUUUUCCAAAAUUCGAAAUUUAGCUGAUAUAAGGCUAUAACAUGAGACACUGUAACAUGUCCUAUAACCAGUGUACAAAAUGCUGAAUUUACGAUUUGACAGUGUGUUCAUUUGAAAAAUGAUCCUUUAAUUAGAAAUAAUUUUUGAUGUUACUUCAGCAUUAUUCAAAUGUGAAAGCUUUAAAAUGAGUAGAUAAAAUUCUCAAAUAAAAUGAGAUCAAGAGCACUUUUAUAAAGCAAACAAGGUCACUCUUUUCCAGUAAUGUAAUACUCGGCGAGAAAUCCUUGAUCUCUAAUUUGCUCUCUCCACUGGACUUACCUGCUGAAAAGAAGGUUCCCUGGGGAGACACAUCAUCAGUGACUAAAUUGACCUUCACAUGUAUGGACUGGUCUUCUCUAUGCCUGAUUAACGGAUAAGUGUUCUGAAGUAUGACAUUCCUCAGUGGAGGGAUAGUAUCUGAACUUGGCGUGACAGCUGGGGAAACAGUUUGGAUUUUGAUGACUUAAAGGCUUCUCAGCAUUAUACAUUUCUUCCCAUAAUUCAUGUCCUAUAUAAUCAGCAAUAAGAAAACUGAUCAAUAUCUUAUGAAAGCCUGCAUCUGCUUCCUUAUGCUUAAUUAUACUUGAGAAACUCAUGGUGAAUAAAAUAUUCUCCAUUUGCCUAAGUGUUAAAAUGUCAUUAUCAUUUCUGUUGAAUUCAUUUUGUAUUACAAGAUGUUGUUAGUAAACAAUUUCACAAUAGUACUUAAUGACUUGCUUUCCCUACAGGAUAAUGAUGAUAAAAAUGUACAUUUUUAUUUCAUUUUUAUGCCAACAAUAAAGAUUCUAUCUGUCAUUUUUUUCUGUAUACUGAACUAGCAUAGUUUUUGGCAUGGGUCACAUUUGUAAAUGUUUCAUUUAUGAACCAUUCCUCCUCCUGAAUCCUUGCAGUUCAGGAUUAUGCCAACAAAGAUAAGCUGUCUUGCGGUUCAUGUGCCUCUCAAUUUGACUUUGUGUUUGCUCCGACAUUUCCUCAAUAGUAUCCAACAGGAAGUUGUUCUACAUAGUUCUGAUGAUGUUAUUUAUCAUGUAAUUGUGCUAAAAGCUGUUUAAUAUAUAAAUGACAACUGAUUAUCUUUGUCUUUACUUUUUUCUUGCGCAUUUAUCUCACUAUAGACUGUUCUGUUCCAUAGGCAAUUUUAUGCACCAAGUUACUCAGUAAAGGUGAAUUUAGCUAUUCAGAGGACAACCCACAUCCUUUAGGAAGUUGGUGAUCAUGAAAUUAUGGUCAAAGUGUUAGAAAAUUACCUUUUUAUUUAAAUUAUUUUUAUAGCAUCACCAGAGAAUGUAUGAUAAUGUAUGAAUAGGUUAUCAGGUUUCAUUUCCUGGUCAUGAACGGUUAAAUCUGACUAUUCAGAGUUUAGGUAGUUGCUUUAGAGAACAGUCUUCACUAAUGGCAGUUCCACCACCCUACCCCCAAUUUUAGGGACCAGUGGAGGCAGGUUAUUGGAAUCAGUGGCAGACAGGGAAUGGGAGAAUCUAAGAAAAUGCCUUGAAUUUAGAUAUUUAUCGAAGAUUCCUUGAGUGGAUAAAUUAACAAGAGAAAAUAAAAGGAAAAGACAACCAAUGCAUUAAUUAUGUCCCAUGACACAAACUUCUUUUUGUUAGGGUACUGAUGGUUGAAUCCAGGAUGCUGUGUAUUCUCUGCCACUGAACUUAACUUCUUUUUAAAAAUUUUGAUAUCAAGUCUUACUAAAUUUCCCUUGCUGGUCUUAUAUUUGUGAUCUAAGGAUCUUCUGCAUCCCAGAUAGCUGGGAAAAUAAGUAUGUGGCACCAUAUUUGGCUGUAUGCAAACUUUUGGUUAUUAGUCUUAUUUUCAUACGUGGUUGUUUUAUCAAAGUAAAGCAGCUAACAAGAUGACAUCCUGUUGAUGAGUAGGGAAGGCCAGACACUAAAACUUGAUUAUUCACUUUAGGCCACAGUGACUUCUUAGUUAUUGGAAUAAGAAUUAUUCUUGAUGAGGGUUAUAAAAAACAAAUUAUUGGAAUCAAGUAUAGAACCCAGAUUCAGAUAGAAGAAAUAAUCUAAACAGUGAAUAGUUUCUUGAGACAUGGUACAGUUGCAGCUUUAGUAAUUACCACUCAGUAUAUUUCUAUGAAAGGUUGCUUACCUAUUGGAAUUUUAGGAAUAGCAUGUAACAGUUCUAAGUUGCUGUAACACAAGAUACCAUUAUCAAUUUAUAUUUUACUUGGUUGAAUAAAUGCAUGAAUAAAUGAAGCAGAGAAAAGGAGAAAUUAGUAAUAAUAAACAUAUCUAUGUAGUAUUUGAGUUAUUUUCCUCAUAUGAUAGGUGUUUAAAUGGGGCAGCCAGUAAGUGGGACAAUAAUUAGAUGCACAGGAUUUGGACUGAGAAAAUACAGCCCGAGGGCACUGCAUGCUAAAGGGGUUGGGAGCAUGUUGGAGCAUAAAAAAGGACUCCAAACAGUAAAGAAGAUGGGUGCCUUUUCACAGAGCAUUCUUUACACAAAAACAAAUGUCUAUUUUGAUUUGAUUUUACUUACAGGCUACUUUGCCUGUUACCUAUAACUCAGAUCAUUUGUAAAUAGCUCGACAAUCUUCAUUACAAACCAAGUGUGAUGUCCAUUGACAUUUCAAGUACCUGUUUUCCUGCUUCCCUCCAAUGCUUUUUCAAUAUUUUGUGAAGAAUUUUUUCCGCAAGAUAUGAGAUUCCUGUCCUUGCUCAUUUCCAUUGACUGCUUUAAAUUCAUUCAUUUAUUCACAUUAUUCAACACACACACACACACACACACACACACACACACACACACACACCUGCUGUUGAGGAGCUCAAACUAUGUGGACAGGAAUAAUUUUAAAUGAGUAAAUGUAGUUUUAGCAGUGCUAACUUCUGAUAAUAUGUAGUCUACUCUGUUUAAGCACUGUCUCUAGACAAAUCCAGUAAUUUUUUUUUCUACUUGGGAGUAUUUGGGAACCUAUUUUACAGGUGGAGAAUUAUGUCCUAUCCUAUCAACUCUGGAAUGGAUUUCUGCUAUUUGUUCACUUCUUAGCACUUAUAUGGAGACUAAAAUAAGUGAUCUAAUUAUUGACACUCGAUAGGGGUGUUGAUGUGAUGGUGGAUGUCUGCCCUUUUAGGAUAGCAUAAUUCUACACAAUCUACAAAAUAGCUUCAGGCUUUCCUUGCCUGCACUUCCAAAUAUAUAUACAUUUGAAUCCAUCUUUUUAUUUCUAUAUUUGAUUAAACUAUGCUAUGGAAUUGACACAAUAUCCUUCUAGUGGAAAUUAGAUAAAAUGACCACCAGUACUGUUUGAAGGUAGACAUAGUGUCUUACAAGCUUUUUUUGUCCACCAUUGGCUACUACAGAGCCUUCAAUUUAGUCAUAUCAAAAUAUAUUAGAUACAUGCAAGUAACAUUUCUUGUCCUCCAUGUACCCACUAAGGGCAGUUGGAAUUUAUUGCCAAUAAGUACAUGUAAGAGUAACCAAGAAAAAAGUAACUCAGGGGUAGAAAUUUCCUUCCAUAUUCAAGGGGAAAAACAGACAUUUAUUCAUUGAAUUCUUUCCUAAAUUCUAGUAUAUUCUUUCCUACUUUUUUUUCCUUUUUCAUUUUUAUUGGUACCGGGGACCGAACUCAUGACUGCCUGCUUGCAAGGCAAGUGCUUAUGCCGUUGAGCUAAAUCCCCAGCCCCUAUUCUUUCCUUCUAAUAUAAAGCCACUGUGUUUCUUUUUCGAGGUUUCCAUAGCUUUUAUGUUUCUUUCAUUAUAUGGAAAUUGUUUUGAAUGAGGAUGCCCAUUAUAUGUAAGACCUUUAAUUAUGUAGUUAUAAUAUUUUAAUCAGAGAUGUGAAAACUAUGAUUUAAUAGUAUUUUAGGCUUUACGCUUCAUGGUACUAUUUUUAAAAGGGAAAGUGUUCAAAGCCCAUGAAGGACAUAGAGAGAGGGAGAUGUAAGAGAGGAUAGAACUAGAAAUAGAAAGGAAAGGGGCAUCUUUGAUGCUGUGGAAGCAAUGGGGAGCAGGUUCAAUGAUCUGGGCUGAAUAAAGCACCUCUGCAUGAGAUAUGAAGAUCUCAUGACAUUUAUUAAAUAUAAGAGUGAUGAAUUUAAGAGUAAAGCAAAUAAUCUUUUCUACUUAUGUAAACUGUAUAACUGAAACAAUGCAAAUAAUUCAGUUCUUAGCAAAACCUAACUAACCUAAUUAUAGUCAGAGUGCUGAAGCUAUCAAAGAGGAAGAAUAAUACAUUGCUUUUAAUUGAGUAGGCCAGACUCUCCCUUGUUUUGUUAUUUUCUAGCCAAUAACUCAGUAGUUUUAUGGAAAGUCACAACUUCUCAGGUGACUCACUGUUAAGUCUUAGAAACCCAGAUGUGAACAGGUAGCUGCAUUACCCUCAGUAAGUCAGAUCGACACCUGGGUUAUCCUUUGAUUUCUGGCAAUGACAGGUUAUAGGAAGGACUAUAAAGGGCAAUCAGGUAAAAGUUUCGUGCAAGAUAACCACACAGAGGUGCUUGGAUAGAAAUAUAAAGGUGCAGUGAGAGUGAAUAUUACCAGAUACAUUUUUUAAAUAAACAUUCACUGUUCAUCGUUUUGAUAAGGUUUUUCAAUUCUUGUUCUGUAGAUUUGUCUUCUAGGUACUGGUCUUUGUAAUUUGUCCUAAAUGUAAGUUCAAUUAGAUUAUUCUGCAGCUUGGUUGUUUGGCUUUUGUUGUUGUUGUUGUUACUAGCAAAAACAAUUCUGACCUUUUAAGUUUAUUUUUCAUCAACAUUAAAAUGGAAUGGUUUAUUUUGUUGAAAAGACAGAAACAUAUACUAUCAAGAAGAUACUAUUUUCUAGGGAGUUAUAGAGAGCUGGAGGGUAUGAGAUUAGAAUUUCUAGACUUGAUUUUUUUCUAAUUGAAGAAAGUUCUUUAGCCUAUGUUCUAGUAACUUGUCUUCCAAAAUAAUAUUUUCAGACUCUCAAAUUUAAAGUUUAGUUCCCAUUCUUUAUCAUUCUCAUCAUAAGUAUUAAAAACAAGGAAGCAACAGAAUUAGGAAUAGGUACAAGACAAAAUGCUAUCAGUGCAGUCAAUAAAUAAAUCUUGAUCUUAUAUCAGAUAAAUCUGUUUUCAUUAUUUUUAAGGAGGUGUGAUCCUUUUUGGAAGAUGCUAUUCUAAAAAAGUGCACAGAGACAUACUAGGGUUAAAUAAUACAUGGUUAAAACAAUCUGCACUUUUAUGCAACUAAACAUUGAUUCUAAAUCAGUAUGAGGACAGAUACUUAUACACAAUAUACUGAUCUCGAAGUGUUCUUUAUAUUUUGGCCAUUCAAAAAUACACAAUUUUGUCAAAAGCAAAUCAGUGAAUUUGAGGUAUUGAAAGUUUAAAGCACAUUAACUACAUAAACUCAGACUGUUUACAGCUCAAUGUAUAUUAUUAUUAAUGCAUUUGUUAAUAUCUCUAUCAUGUUUUCUUUGAUUUUAUCUUGUCUUGAUACCCAAGUAUGUUCCCUUUAUUUGUUUGUUAGGCUAUGAUAAGUGGUAGGGUGUAUUAUGGUCACUGAAAAGUAGACUUUAAGAAGCCUCUAAACUUACCUGUUAGCCAACUUACUGUUUAAAAACUUAGUGCUUGUUGUUACCCAAUAGAUUAUAAACCCUGCUGGGGUUUAGAGGCUCUAAAUUGAAUUACUCUCUGGAAAAAAUCUGUUCAAGAAAAUUCCCCAAAUAUUAUGUUAUGAUUUCCUGAACUUUUUAAGAAUAUGGGGAAAUUUUAGGACUUGGUUCAUGUACCAGUAAUUUGAUUUUUAAAACAAAAUUAAUCUUAAUACUUUCUUGAUGGGUUAAUUUACUUCCUCAUCUAAGUUUUCAAAAUAUUUCACAAGUGAAAUCUCAUUCUCUUUUGUUCCAUUUGAAUAAAGCCGGUCUGUUGUGUACCAUAAAUCACUGCCCUAUUUUAAAACUAUUAUCCCUUAAGUUUAAUAAAAGGAUAAAGGCUUGAUAAAUUGUUCAAAGACAAAAAUGAUACUGUCCUCUUUAAACUUAGGUAGCCAUUGUUUCAUCUAUAAUACAGUGUUAUCAAAGAUCUCUACUUAAAAGGCUUUUAAAACAGUGAAAUUCUCUUAUCAUCCUUCAAAGAAUAAAGAAAACAAUAAUAAAUUGAAAGAUAUUUUCAGGAAAAGUAUGUUGAAACUUUUUUACAAGGGAAAUUUUUUUACAUAGGAAAAUUUUGUGCAGUUUUCUAAGCACUCUGUGCAUUAUGUAGCCUAUUAGGUAAAAAUAUGUAUUUUCAAAUUUUUGUUUUGAUAUCAACGUUUUAUUUUGGUUAAAUUUCUUAUAUGAAUAAGUAGUUAUAGUUUCAGUUGUACUUUUUAAAAUUAUGUUAAUAUUACUUUUUAAAACAUUGCUGCUAAAUUUAAGAUGAAAAGGAUUGGAUUUUUCAUUGAAGUUAGUAAUGUAACUUGCUUCUCCUGCUGGGCUUUAAGUAAUUUUGCAUCUGGUGGGGACUAGAUAACUUUUGUUUAAAACCAGCAGGAGGAGCUCUCAUCUUGCUGGGUUUCACAUAAUUAGUGUAUCUGGUAAACUUGAGUUUGUGGUGAUUUUUUGUGUAACACAAGUGAUAAAAUUAAAAUACCAUAUACAGUGGUAUUCACAGAUCUUAGGACACUCAGUUUUAGUUUAAUGUCAAAGUACUAUUCACUUGUCUGAUGCAAAUUUGAAAUUUUAUGCUUAGGGAUUUUUAAAGGUCCUUGCUAUUUAAGAAAACAAAGCACUAAGAUGAGUCUUAUUUCUGGUGCUACUAAGGAAAACAUUGACACACACGUACACACACAAAUCCCAAAAACUCUCUUCCUAAGCAUCUGUAUUUUUUCUAAGUACAUACACAUUUUCUUUUUUUGUUUUAAAAUGCAUACAGUUCACAGUUUAUAACUGAAUAAUAAAUAAAAUAACUCAUACAUUAGAAAGAACAGUGUUAUAUAAAAUAAUUGAUUAAAUAGUUUGUAUUAAUUUCUAUGUACAGCUAAUGAAAAGGAAAUUGAUAUCAGUACAUAGUCAAGGAUUCCAAAUACUGUUUCCAGUGGUUCCCUUAUUUUAAUACCAUUUGUUGGUAAUAACUUUGAAUAGUCUAUAUGAAGCUUUGAUGAGAAAUUUAAAUUCAGACUUACAAAGACAAAAUCUUAAAAAGAUAUAGACAUGUUUCUCUUCAUCUAUAGAAGUAAAAAUAAAGACAGUAAAUAAGUUUUUAUAUUUGAUCUUAAAGUAAGAGCAACAUUUUUUUAAAACAACACUUUAAAAAAGUUUGGUGUGUGAAAGUUAAAAGUAGUGAUAUUUCUUGAAAUCCAAACAUAUCACUUUGUGAUGUCAAGGAAAACUAUAUAACACCUCUGAGCCUGAAUUUUCCCAUCUAUAAUUUGAGAAAUGAGGAUAGAGACAGACAGACAGACAGACAGACACAGACUCAGAAGUGGAAAAAUAAAUAGCAUGAUUAAAUAAUGGGUGCAGGUCUUAAAUGAACAUCUUUGCAUAGAAACAUGCAAGUGGCUAAUUGUAAAGAUCCUCAGCAUUAAGUCUCCAGAGAUAUGCAAAUCAAAAACAAUGAAAUAUCAGAUGACCCUGUUAGGACAGCUAUUGUCAAAAAUUUAAGAGUUACCAAGUGUUGGCAGCAAUAUGAAGGAGAAAGAACAAGCCUUUUUAACUUUUUAACACAGUAUUAAUUAGCACAGCUAUUACAUAAAACAGCACUGAGUGGCUCCAAAAUAUAUAGAACCACCAUGUAUGAUCUGGUUAUUACAUUUCAGGAUAUAUACUCAGAAGAAGUUAAAUCAGGAUCUGAGAUAUUUAUACUUCAUGUUCUUUGCAGCGUUAUUCACAAUAAAAAUGAUAGGAAAACAGAUGUCAUCAAAUUAAAUGGAUAAAUAAACUUUGGUAGGCAAACAAUGGAAUCUUAUCCUGCCUUUAAAAGAAUAAAAUUCUGUUCCAUUGACAAUAUGGGUGGACUUGGAGAAUAUUAUGCUAAAUUAAGUAAGCUAGUCAGGAAAGAACACAUACAGCAAGAAUUUAUUUAGAUAAAGUGUCUUGAAUAGACUUAGAAUCUGAGAGCAAAAUCGUGGUUGGCAGGGCCUGAGGGAGGAAGGAGAAAAUGAGGAGAUACUGUUUAUGAUACAAAGUUUCAAAUAUGGGAAGUAAAUAAAUUCAAGAAAUAUGUUUCCCCAGUAGACAUUGAUAUCUCUUUGCUAUUUUCCUACAUUAGCAAUACAGUAUAUGUAAUUUAAAAAUUUAUUGUGGGUAUCACUUAUAUGAAAUGUUUUUCUAAACAACAAAAAGGACCUGAAAACAAACAAAAAAUGAAGAUGAGGAAACAUUUGGAGGAGGUAGAUAUGUUUAUUAUUUUAGAUGUGGCAGUGGUUUAAUGAAUGCACAUGUGUGUCCAAACUCUUCAAAUUUUAUACAUUAUGUACAGUGUCUUGUAUAUCAACCAUACCUUAAUAAAGCUCUUUUUAAACUAAAUAAAGUUUUUCAAUGAUUAUAAAUAUGGAAUGAAUGUAUAGACAACAACCACAUUAAAGGAAAUUUAGAUUCUUACUAAAAUAGAGAAAAAUCAUUGUUCUUUAUAAAAACCAGAUAAAGUAGGAUGAUAAAAUAAGGGUGUUUUUCAAUUUAAGUAUUCAUUUUAAGUGUAUUUUAAGUGAUACAGAAAAAUAUAACAGUUGUUCCUAUCCAGUUGCUAGCGUAUAAUAUUUUAAUACAUUAUUCAAUCUUUAAGUCAGAUUAACAAAUUUGUCUCAUUAAAAUUUUUAUUCUAUAAUGAAAGCAUUGAAAACCUUUCUUGUAGCCUUUUAAAAUGUACAGAACAUUGUUGACAUUUAGUAGUUCAUCUGCAGUAGUGCAUCAAGACUUCUUUCUCGUGUCUGAGUAUAAUUUAGUUCCUGUUUUUAAUCCGCCUUUUCUCAUUUCUUCUCCGCAUACUUCUGUGGCCUCUGGUAGCCACUGUUUUACUCUCAACUUCUCUAGAUUGGGUUUUGAGAUUCUGUAUAUGAGUGAGUUUAUGAGACACUCAUGCUUCUCUACCUGGCAUUUUUCAUUCUACCCUGUUACCACACGGGACUUCAUUAUUUCCUGGGGCUGAGCAGUAUUUGUGUAUGCAUAUUGCAUCAUUUUAUCCAGUUUAUCAAAUGCUUCCAUUUCUUGACGAUUGUGAAUAGUGUUAAAAUGAGCACAGGCAAGCAUAUGUAUCUUUGAUAUACAGGUUUCAUAACGAUUUGUUUGAAAUGGAAACAAUGAUGGAGCAUUUUGGGGAUUAAAGAAGAAUGUACAUAGACAUUCAUUGUACAAUGAUUGAGAAUCAGUAUUGUCACUUUUACUGCUGGUUAGGGAACUGGGGAAGUAUUUCAUGCACUGGGGAAGUAAAAAUGCACUCAUAAUUAAAGUUCCAUUUUAGAGUAACAAAGUACAUACUGAUAUUACAGACUUCUGCAUUAUUUAAAAUACUUUAUCCCACAGCUUAAAAAGAAUUUCUAUUCAAUAACAAAAUAGAGCUUUUUUUCAUAGUUGUUAUAAUGAUGUACUCAGGUUUUUCUCUAAUUUGUGGAAUUAUUUAUGUUGCACUGAAUGAACCCAGAUUGUGUAUGUGUGUGUGUGUGUGUGUGUGUGUGUGUGUGUGUGUGUAUGUUGCUUAUAUCCUACCUUUCCUGAACUUUAUUUUUGUUACAUCUAAUGUAUUUAAUUUUAUGUUCAGAUGGAGUAAAUUGAACUAUAAAGAUAAACUUUUUAAAAACUAUAGCCUUUGAUUUCUCCUUUUAUUUCUUUCUGUGAUUUUAACAGCCUUGGAAAACCAUUAGCAAGAUAUAUUAAUUCAUUAGGAGUAGCAAAUGGUGUACUACAUUCAUUCAUUCUUCUUCAUUUAUUAACUAGAGUAUUUCUAUAAGAGAAAUGUCCUUCAUUAACUAUUUUGUUAAGCAGAAAUAGUUUGUACAGAGAAAGCAAAAUGCAUGUUUUGUUCUUCUCAUUUUCUUUACCAGUUUUAAAAGUAAUGUUUUUCUAACAUUCUGCAAAAGAUACCAUGAGAUAUCUACUAACAUUUGCAUGUGUGAAUUUAAGUAUAUUUUAAAGUUUAAGAUUUCAGUCACUACCUUCAUCUAAGAUCAACUUAUUUGUUAGUGUAGCCCUUUGAAAAUUCAUUCCCAUCUGCUUUUGUUUUGUCCCUAGCAGACAUUGAUACCUCUUUGCUAUUUUGCUGAUAUUAGGCCUAUAAAAGACCACCAGAGAAUUUGGCUAACUAAAUAUAAAAAUAACAGUAGGUUGAACAGGAAUUUGAUCCAGCUUCUUACCUACUAAUUUAAAGGAAAUAAAGUAAAUGAUAAAGAAUGUUUAAUGGUAUCUCAUGUAAUACAAAACGUUCUAGUUUUUUCUCUUUCAUAGAAAAUAAACUUUUUAAAUGUUAAAAGUGAUGAUUUAUUGUUUUUCUUUAAGGAAAAUUAAUUUUAAAAUAAUGAGAUACUGUGUGGCAUGUCUGUUAGAAGGAGUUUAAAAUACUAGACAAUCAGCCUGAUAUGUGGAGAAACUGCUGUUGGGAAAAUAACAUUUCAUACCAUUUGGGAAUUCAUUUUGAAAGAUAGUUCUAGAAAUAAGUAUUUUGCAUAUAAUCCAGGAAUCAUACUCCUAAUUAUUUCCCCUGGAGUAAUAAGAGCCUUAAGUUCAUAUAAAAACCUACAAGGGAAAGUUUACUAUGACUUUAUAUGCAAGUGGUACUUGAAAAAAAAAUAUGUGAGUGUUUAAAUUUAAAGAAAUUACAGUGAAAGACCCAUCACCAUUGAUGUCCCUUAAAAUACCCUCUCCCCCAUUUUUUAAAAAUUUUAUUUAAAGGAGAAAAAAUAAACAGAACAGUAUAAGGGUAAAAGUAAUACAGAAUCAAAAAACAAUAAAAAAUCACUAGUUAAUAGAUAACAUAUUGCCAUCUUAGAAAUAGUUGUUCAAGUUACAGGAUUAAACCAUACAAGGUGGACAUUCAAACAGUGAGACUGUAAACAGUUGUGUUCAGUGAUCCAACAAAAACUUAGUAAUAUGGUCAUCUAUCUUAACACCCCUAAACGCACUUGCAGUUGUAUCCUUUAGAGCACUUUUUUACCUCUCUUUUUUACAACAUUUACACAUUUUUCCUCUCCCCCAUUUUGAACAGACGUAUUCUAUCAUUCUUGCCAUUUUCUGAAAUAGUCCAGCAAGUCCUCUUUCAUGAGUGUCUUUGGAGGAGUGACUGACCGUAGAGUAAAUGCUGCUGCCAGGUGCCAUCUGUGGGAGUCAGAUUCAUGAAAACACUACCUUGUGUUCAUAACCACUUUAUUCAUCAGACCUGGUCCAGUGCAAAAUCUGACUUACCAUCAAAGACAAAAUGGCCAUGGAAGAUAACCAUUUUAAAUUGACUCAGGACAUCCGGCCAACCAUGAUAGCACAACUGUGAUACUCACAAAAGAGGACUUUUGAAACUGGUAAGAAUGAAGAGGAAAUAUUUUUGAGGGUGAAUAAAGGCAGCACAUCAUUUACUGUAAAGUUAUUUUAAAUUUAAACACAUAUAUUAAGUGACUCACAUGUUUAUCAACUAGCAAAUCCCGUACACUAAAAUAAUUUCAGCAAUAAAAUGUAAUUAUUACGGGCUGGGGAUUUAGCUCAGCGGCAUAAGCACCUGCCUUGCAAGCAGGCAGUCGUGAGUUCAAUCCCCAAUACCGAUAAAAAGGAAAAAGACCAAAAAAAGUAAUUAUUAGUGCUUCUGAAGCAGUAAAAAUGGUUCUCAGAUGCAUUAUACCUGAAAGAAACCAAAUUCAAAAGAAUACAUGGUAAAUUGUUUCUGCAUUUGAUAUUUAGGAAAAGUCAGCUCGAGGGCAGAAUUUAGAUUAGUCAUUGUCUGAUGAUGGGAAGGAAAAUGGAUCACUGUAGAGGGCCACAAGGAACAUUUAAGGGAGAUUGAGAGUAUUUUAUAGCUUGAUCAUAGCCAUAGCUUACAAAGAUGUGGAGAUUUUGUCACAGUACAUAGAAAUAUACCUUUAACAUACUGAACACACUUCAGUCUACCUGAAAAAUAUAAUAAGAAAUUUUUAAAAGCAAUCUCAUUGUAAUGUAGAGCAGUAUUUUGAUUUUGGUUUCUGGGGAAUUAAUAAAACAUUAAAAGUAUUUGAUGACAUUAAGUAAUUGCUAUCUGUGUUAAUGUACUAAAAGUAAUUCUAGCAUAAAUCUUUAUUUUAGAAAUACACACAUGGUGACAGUUUCACAGAGUAAAUGAUUUGACUACUGAAAUUUGCUUCAAAAAGUCUUGCACUGGGAGAGUAGCUAUGGAUGAAAUAAAUAGAACAUAAAUUGGUGUUUAAUAAAAUGAUAAUGAGUUGUGAUUUUAAAAACUAUUUUCUCCUAAAACAUUUGAGAAUUUUCUACAUAAAAUUUAAUUGAAAAAAUAUAGUUGAGUUUUACCAGUUUGAAUAUUCAGUAAUGAGUAUACAGCGUUUACCACAGAAAUUUAAUACUAGGUGCAUCUUUUAUAACAUGUCCCUGAAAUACAUUACAGUGGCUCAAUUAAGUAGAACUACAAAAUUCUUGUAGACAAAAAAACAGGUGGUAAAUAAUGAACUAACAAUGGCAUUUUUCAAAACUGCACUUAAAGAAUCCUUCCUCAUUGCAAGGUGAACCGAACCCAAUAAUGAGCUACAUAAGCAUUGUCUCCUCAGGGUGUAGCCCGUUGCCUGCCCUACCUUGUGCCUGUGAUCCAGCGCUGGAAAAAGUAUAGAGCUGCUAAAUUUUGAUAGUUACAUAUUUUUCUACUGUAAACAUAGCAAAAAUACUCCUGGCUCAUCUCUGUCUUUCUAGAUUUGUUUCUGUCCUCCUACUUUGCCAGUAUAAUCCCCACUCCUAUUUCAGACUCCAGAGGAAUUUUUAAAAAUCGUCUAUCUGUCUGUCUGUCAUCACAUCUGAUUGAAGACCAUCUUGUUCUCGCCUAGCUCAGGUUUAAUCUUCUUUGUGAAUUCUUCCAGAUUUGCAUUUCAACCUUGGCUUAAUCGCCAGUGUAUUUUAUAAUUGUCCAUUUUAUCAUUUAAUAUAGUUUAUUCUUGUUAUUUGUUUAGUUGAUAUUUUUGGACCAGAUGAUGGUUACUCUAGGUUAGUGAAAGAAAGGGGUAUAGCUUUAAUUUUGCUUUUCCAUCUUUUAGCAAACAGUAUAUUACCUAUUAUUUGCAGUAAUGGCAUCUGCUCUUGAGCAUAGUGUUCUUUUCAUAAGUGUUUUCAUACUUCCUGUUUAUUAAUGCACAUUUAAUAAUAUUAGAAAGAAACCUUUUAAGUGUUUUUUUUUAUUAAUGUUGACGGAAAAGACUAUUAAAAUAGGAAAAUAAGCAAAGUUGAAUAUUUCCUCAGUUUAAAGUUAAUAUUAGUUUUAAGAAUCUGUUAGUAAAAAUGAUUCUUUAAAUUGUAUCAUUUAGCUAUUUUACUCAGCAUUGUUAAACCUAAAUGCAUUUGAAAUUAUCACCAUGCAUUUUAUCAUGACGCAAUGCUGUCAUUAUGUACACAUAUUUCAUACAUAUGGAAAAAAUUUUAAAUACUAUAACUUGUGAAUGUGAUGAAUAAGAUAUUAAUGAUUAUUGAUGAUUUAAAUAAUAAGUAUUAUAAUACAUUAAUUAUUCAAAUAAUUUAAUGUAUUUUUUAGUUGAGAAAUUCAUGCAAGCUUUAUCUGUUCACUUUCAGUUGUGUUGCUUGAUACAACUACUGUGCUGGGUAAACUAGGAUGGAAGACAUAUCCAUUAAAUGGGGUGAUUUUAAGUACGUGAAAAUUCUCAUCCUCAUUAGGUUUUAGGACUUGGGAUAAAUGAAAUAACAGAUUUUUGGUACUCUUUUAUAUCCUUUUUGGUAUAAAGUUUAAAAUCAUGUGAAAAAGAUUAAACUAUAAAUGACAAGUUGAUGGGACUUACAUGUAAACAUUCUGUUUUCUUCUAUAUUAUAGUAACUGUUGUGUUUUACACAUAGUAAUGUUAGAAUUCUGCUUAUACAAAUUUUCCUCAGAAAUAAAUUUUGAUAUGUAAUAUCAGGACACUUUUCUUUAUAAAUGUUACACACAGUAAUUAUGAAUUUGGAAAAAUAAAACUAAGUUUUAUAAGCAGAUUGUAAAAAUAUUAACAAUUUGGAUUUUAAUACACUAGGACUCUACUAAAAUAGUAUUUUAAUUUGGCAGAAAGAUACUUUAUGGUUAGGUUUUUGUUAACUGGAAAUAGUUGCUUUUCAAAGCUUACAAAAAUGUAUAAUUUUUGUAAUACUGUUUUCCAGAAAGUAACAUUUAACUAUGAUAGUACUUGAAUUUUUAUGUUUUAUCUUUUCUGCAGCUUUUAAUAAUACUUUUUUAUAUCAACCUAAAAUGAAAGAGCUCUUUUGAAGAUUUUUAGGUUUUUUUUUUCUAUUUAAAAAUAUUCAGUGAUAAAAACAGAUGUUUUCUGCUACAUCUCUUUUAACCUUUUCUCUUGGAAAUUGUAUUUUCAUAUCAUAUUCUUUGUUUAUAUUAUUUACCUUGUUUCUUGUAGUAUAUCUCCAAAUUUAAAUCUGGAAAUUAGAUAUGAUUUUAACUUUUUAAUCAUUUUACUAAACUGUUGUUUGAAUUUAAUAUUUUAAUCAAAAGUUAUUCAUUAAAUGUGCAUUUUUAAAAAUCCUAUGAAGAGUUGAAUCUUCCUCUCUUUAACACUUAAUUGCUUUAGAUUUAUUUUAUAUUCUAUGAUUUUAUUAUUUUUUAUUUUCUUUUUUCUAGUAGAUAGUUCAUUAAACUAUCUCUGAAAAAUAACCUUUUAAUGUAAGAUGUGAUUUUUUCCUUUUUUAUGAAAAUUAGUAACCACCAAUAUGUAGUGUUUGUCAUUAUGAAGUUAAUGAAUCUUUUAUGUUGUAUACUCUUUCAAUAUCUAUAUAACUUGAAAAAAAUAUGUAUUUAUAUAUAUUCUCAGUAAACAAAACAAUUUCUAGGUUCUUAUCCAAUAAGUAGAUAGUUCAGAGCUCCUAUUUUUUGUUUACUAAAAAUAGAUAAAAUUUUACCACUGGCUUCAUAGUAUCAUAGAUAAAAAUCAUUUGUGGGGGAAAAAGCUUUUGAUCUUCUCUGCUAAUUAUGUGCAUGUUGAUUAAGCUUUAUUUCAUAGAAAACUGGUAGCCAGGAGAGGCAUACACUUACAGCCACAGGUGAGAUUGCUGCUGUCAGUCUGGUUUUGAUUUUUUUCCUAAACUACUUUUAAUGUGUUAUGGAGAGAUAGGGCAGAAUUGUUUGAGGAAGUGUCGCUUUUGCUACAGUUUUCUGUUUGAAAGACACAGUCCCUAUCAUUUCACAUUUUAUCUUUAGCAAUGGUCCUUUGAAGUAUGCCUUACUUCUGUUUCUCCAGUGGAGAAUCCCAGUUAUUAAAAAAAAAUAACGUAAAAUACCAACAGAUAUUUCGUGUUUUAUACUAACAAUAGCUAAGUAGUGAAUAAUAAAUUCUCGUGCUAAGAUAAUUCUGACUCAUGUGGGUGUACUUUUCACUUUUGUGUUAUAUUUGACUAAUUUAGAUUUUUCCCAUUGAUAAUUUUAAUGGUAGUGUAAAAUACACAGUUUGGGCACUGCAUGUUAAUAUUACCAGAAGGAAAAGGAGGACUAAAGGAAAGAGAAGACUGUAUUAGAAAAUAAAUGACAAAAUAAAGGAAAAUGUGAUCAAAAUUUAUUAAUUAUCACAUACUAGACUUUGCUUCAAACAUUUUACUCACAUUAGUCCUAUAUAUCAAGUGUAACUUAUCCUAAUUUAUAGAUGCAAAAUAUAAACUCAGAUUUGUUAAAUAAUUUUUGCAAGGUCACAGAGCUAGGAAAUAGUACAACAAAAACCCUUAGAGAGACAUGCCCUAAUCUCGAACACUUAUGGAUGGUUAUUUCACAGCAAGUUAUUUUUUACUUUUUCUAAGAUUCUGCUCUGUAAGAAUAAAGACUGAUGACCUGUGAAAUCAAAUUAUGGAGGGGAAACUAACACAUGAAUUCAAACAUUAAAAAGUAGAUUAAAUACAUAAUUAAACUGAAGUAUUGCAGAUAACAUGAGCUAUAUUACUUUUAGAUUAUACCCAAGAAACAUAUAUGGGAAAUUGUUAACAGUAGGAAUAUUUGAAAACUGGCAAACAUGGACUAAUUUUAUAACACAUGUAGAUGAGGCAGUAUAACCUAAUCCUAACCUUAAAUAAAAGGUAAUAGAGAGAAAUAGUAUUUAAGUUAUUAUUUGUAAUGAAGAGAAUUAACUAUUUAAUGGAGUUUUCCUUCAUGCUCCCUACAGACUAAAACAAGCAAGGAAAUAAUCACUAAGAAAGAACUUCAAAAGAAACUACUAAAAUGCAAAAGUUAAAAUAAUCUAGAUAUAAAAGAUUAAAUAACUUAAAAGUCCAUUGGUUAUAGUCCAAUAGUUUAUAGUAUUUAAACUAUUAUUGAGACACACUUUAAAUUUUUUUCAUUAAAUGUAUUUGAAGUAGCAUAUAGUUUUAAAAUUCCCGUUUAUUGACCCAUGCUAAUUUAAGUGGCCAUUUUUAACUAUUUUAGACACAACUUCAGUUGAUUUAUGAAUAUCUUGUGAGUGACAAAACUAUACAAUCAUAGUAGAGAAUUUGUAGUGUAAAUUUUAUCUGAUGUUUCUGUGAAAAUGUGUUUUCUAGGAGUAUUUUAGUUGGAAAUAUUGUCUUAAUGUAAAGACUAAAACUAUUUGUACAGACCUAUAGAGCACUACGUAAAACAUAGGAAAUUAAUCCAUAUUUCCAUAGGUCAGUCUGUGUUCUUCUACCUUUCUCUCUCCUCUCCAUUUAAAGUAGCCAUUUGGACAGUGGUUUCCUGCCAUUGGAGUUAUUUGGGUAGAUAUUCAGAGCAUGCCUGUGAACAAAAUCAACCCUGGCCAUUUUAUUAGGAGUUGAGCCACUCUUUUUAGUAAAUUUGGAAAAUAAUCCUUAGCAAAUAGCGUAACUUUAGGUUUCAAAAGUGAAAACAGAAUAUAAUAAUUUUCUGAAACAUUUUCUUGUGUCAUCAAUUACUAAAUAAUUCAUUUUAAAAAGUAUUUCCUAGAACUUAAUUUAGCAAAGUUGUAUAUUAUGUUUCUUUGUGCCAUGUGCCCUGUUAGUAGACUUAUAAGAGAUAUUCUAGCCUAAAACAUUCUUGGUUUAUAGCAGUCAGACUAUAUAACAGAAAGUGUCCUCGUGUAGUUUUUUGUAAUUUUUUGUGAAACAGUAUUAAGAGGAAGAGUUAAUCAUGGUGAUAGAAAAUUGAGAGUGAGGAGAAAAGUAGUCACCUCCUUUUUAUAAACUCUGCAACACAUCUGUAAAAGAGCCACCUUUUCAGGGAAACAGAAUGGCUGUCUCAAAGGUAUGAAAAUAUGAAAUGUGCACUCUUAAUGUGCACUAUUUGUGACUCCUGUACAUCAGUUCUUACAGAAUUCUUAAUGAACAGAAAGCUUUAGUAAUGCUGAGAGUCAUUUGUCUGGCCAGAAUGCGAGGAUCUGGUAAAAAAUUAGGCUGUGAUCAUGGGCAAAAUUAUGCAGUGAAAGAAUUUUAGUAUAUUAGUUGAUCUAAAUACUACAUUUCUCAGAUCCAACAAGUAAGAGUAAAAAAAAAAAAAAAAAAAAAAAAAACCUUACUGGAUAUUGCAAAAAUUACUGAAGUACUGUAUCCUUUUGUUGAAUACAGUAAUUUAAGCUCUCAGAAAUGAAUGACCCUCUUGGAAAUUGAAAAGGUGCUCAAAAUACAGAUCACAUGACAUUGCUGAUAUUGGGAAUGAAGUAAAACAGACUAAUUUCUGAAGAUUAUGGUUGGAGCUUAGUUUUAUAAGUGAUAAAUACAUCAGGGAAUUGAGGAACUACUGUUCCUUAAAUUUUCACACUGUAUUCUCUUUUGCUUUUUGUUUUUGUUUUCUGCCACCUUUUUUUCUCUUAAAUAAAAAAAAAAAGAAUUCUGUGUUGAAUAUUUCAAAAAUACUUACAAACUCCAGCAAAGUAAUAUGAUAACCAACAAAAGAAUGUGCAUAAAUAAUUUUUUUCUUUAUAACACAAUAGGUGUUCUAAAUUAAUACUGAAGCAUUUUUACAUCCAUUAAAUAUAGGUGAAUGCUUUGUCUUUGUGUUUACUAUGAAGAACUAAUCCUACAUCUUACUCUAGUAAAUCCCAAAUCUUACUCUUGUAAACACUAAAUCUUACUCUGGUAAAUUGUAAAUCUUACUCUGAAAAAAUUGAAGAACUAGCUUUAGUUCUUUAAGACUUCUAAAAAUGAGAUGAUUUUAAUGCUAAUUAAACCAAAACACAGAGAUACACAGAUCCAGUGUAUGCAGUAACAUUGUAUGGAAUAAGAAAUUGAAGAAUAUAUAUCCUUAAAUUAUUCUUCUGUUCUUAAAAUAAAUAAUAUAAAUGUUUUAAACAUUAGCUCUUGUGUCUAUUCUUUUCUUUUUGAAUUUUUUACUUAUUUGAUUUAGUUUUAGCCAUUGUAGAACAUUAUAAAGGAUAAAUUAUAGUAAUAGCAAUAGGAUCUGUAGUUAAGAAUAAUAUUCAAAAUCCUUAAUGACCAUUGCAGAUUACCCCCCACUUUAUGUCACACAACAGUGAGUAUCUCAUAUUGGAGUACUGUGGCUAUUAACUCGAACUGGUAGUAAGCAGUUGCUCUGAACCAGAGAAAUAAAAGGCUUUUUACAGUAUAGAAAGGAAUUUUAUAACUAAAACUCUAUUUUCUUUUCUUUGAGCUUCAGUAAUUACGUUUGAUAACAUUUAAAAUUUAAUAGCUAUGUGGUUUUAUUUAAAAUUUUGGUACUGUAAUUAAAAAGAUAAGCAGCUUUUUAAAAAUAGCCAUAUAUUGGUUAUUAGGGAUAAUUAAAUUGAAUAAAAUCUGAUAAUUACUAUAUUUCAUUUCAUAAUAAUUUUUGGAUACUGUUUAAUUUAUACCUAAAAUUACAUAUAAAACUAUGCUUAGUAUUGAAAGAACUUGAUUCUAAGCACUCCAUCAACUCAUCUGAAAUAGUAAUGUCAUCAUUUAUUUUUACAUACAAUAACAUUUUAGUGAAAAAUAUUUUUCAUCUCUGUUGUUUUUCACUUUUGAUUACCAGAAAGCAAGUUUUAAAAGUUGUGUUUAAUGUAUACAUGGUGAGACAUAUUUUUUACAUUAUUAAACUGAUUUAAUUUUCAACAGAACAAUAUGAAUGAAAUUAUCAAAAAGUAUGGGAAAAAUACAGUGUCACAUAGACCAGUUGUGGCAAACCUAUCUGUUGCAGCCAGCUAUUUGUUAUCAUUGAAAGCUCUAAAAGACUCAACAUCACUGUUAUAGAUCAUUCCAAAUUUUUCUGCUAGCGUGCCUCUGGCACAUGCUUAUAACAGCCUCUGAGUACUUGGAUGGAUGAGAACAGUGAACUGAAUCCUAGAGAAACAAUUCCUUAGGUACCUUUUUGAGCUGGGCCCAGAGUCUCAAAUGGAAAGUUUAUACUUUGACACCUUUAGUCCUGCAACAGGUUGGGUGUUGGCGACUCAUGAUAUCUCCUCAAGGCAUCUUUCUUGUUGUCCAGUUUCAUAAUCUCUUCAAGAAACACAUAUCCUUUUCCCUCAGCUUACACACACUUCUUUUCUGGCCAGGAUGUGAGUUAUUGAAACUUUUCUGCUCUGGAUUAUGUUCCCGAUGUUCACUGUACAUCUGGCUAAAAGAAACCAGCAGCCUGAAUGUUCAGCUGCUUUGAAAUUUCCCCAAACAGAUCAAUUGGUUCACCAUGUUUAAACAUAGUCUUCCUCAGUCUCCUGACAAGCACAAUAUGUAGAUGAGUUUUUUGUCAGAAUGUAACUUGCUUGGUCUCCAUUCCCCAAUAGAAUCUGCACUCCUUUAGAAAAUCUGAAGGGCAGCCUUUACUCUCUGCAGUCCUAUUAGCAUUCUUCCGGUCUGCAGAAUUAAUCAGAGUUGUUUAUAAGUGUUUGAGGAUUUCUUUAGCUUCUAUCUCCAAAGCAUUCCAAAUAUUUUCUGCAAACUACUACCAAAGAGUUGUGAACCACAUUGUCAGAUAUAAUCAUACCAGUGGCCAAGCAUUCUAGUAGCAAUUUUCUAUAUUGGUCCUAGUUACUUUUUGUUGCUGAGAUACAAUAUAUGAGACUCAUAAAUUAAAGGAGAGGUCAAUUUUAGCUCAGUCUGUGGAGGUUUCAGUUCAAAGACAGGUGGCUCCAAGGCAGGGCAGCAUGUCUAAGAGACAUGGCAGAGAAAAAAAGCUCAUUACUUAGUAGCAGGACACAGAGAUACAUCAAAGAGGAGAGUAGAAUAGGCCCAGUAAGGCCAUACCCUCAGUGACCUCCCUUAUCCAACCAGAGUUCACCUCCCAAGUCAAAUUUAGCAGACUAAUCCACUGAUGAAUCUCACGCACUCAUGUUCCGAUCCCUUUUCAAAGUCCCACCUAUGAGCUCAUGAGACUUUGAUGGGACAUCUGCAUACAAUCAUGACAGUCAGGUAUAAUCACAACAAUGACCCCACUGUCUGUUAGCAAAUCUCUAUAUGGGUCAUCUUUUUCUUUGCUAGAUACAGUUCUCAUCAUCCACAACUUAAAGGAGGGGAAAUUUAUUUGUGUUGUUGAAAAGUAUUGAGUUUUAAUUGAUCUUUGAAGACAAAAUGAUAUCUCAAAACUAAAUAAUUAUGUACAUUUGCAUGGUUAGUGGCAUAGUAGUAUUUAGUGUGUUUAGAUUAUUUCAGUGGUUUUUCAUUUUAGAAAAGAGCUAUCAUUUUCCUUUAAGAACUCGAUGUAUUUCUGUAGUGUGUAUCAUUUCAAUUUCUUUGUAAUGCAUAUAUAAUUAUGACUUUAUUAUGUAUCUUUAAUUGAUUAUUAGCUAGUGAAAUAUAAACUACAGAGAAAUAUAGUCCAAAAAUACCCUAUAGAAAUAAGUACAAUAGAAAUACUAAAGUGCUUCUCACUCUAAAAGCCAUUGUCAUUACAAAUUAUUGAACAAAAACUUUGCAGAGGGGCUGGGGAUUUAGCUCAGUGGCAUAAGUGCCUGCCUUGCAAGCAGGCAAUCGUGAGUUCAAUCCCUGGUACCGAUAAAAAGGUAAAAGACAAAAACAAAAAAAGGUGAAGCUGCUCAGACCUCUACUAAGCCCUGCUCUUUACCUACCAUUUAACUUGUUGCUCUGUCUUCUGACAUUGUACAACCUUCUGACACCUCCAGAUUCCAGCUUUUCAAAGCUAGUAGUGUCUUCCCAUGACUUCCUGUUAUCUAUAGGCCUAGGGUCAUGACUUUGAGUCUGGAAGGACCUCUUUUUAUCUCUGGUUAUUUCAGCUUUCUUGUAUAUUAUGCUUUCUCUUCUUGGUCAUUCAAGGCACAAAAGACUCUCUCAACUUUUUUGGAAAAUUUAUGGAAGGUUUAAGUAGGAAGUACCUUUUUAGGACACUGGAAAUUCAAUGCCUAUCGUAGGCUAUAUUUUGUACCAUAUAAAUAUCUAUCACUGAAUUAUGAAUUAUUGAAAUAAUAGAUUAAAUAUUUCAUAUUUAUAUAAAUUGCCAGCAUAAUGACUACCUAUGGCAAAUACUCAAUGAGACUUUAUCAGAUAGCUAAAUAAAUAUGCAAUCAAGCUGUGUGUGGUGGUGCACACCUGUAAUUCCAACAUUUUGGAUAUUGAGGCAGAAAGAUUGCCAUGAGUUUGAGACUAGUUUUGGACACAAAGUGAAUUCAUGGCCUCCCUAAACUAAAUAGCAAGAUUGUGGCUCAAAACAAACAAACAAAAAACACAAUGAACAUCAUUUUAGGAAAAAAUGAUCUAAUACUAGCUUUAGGGAAAAUCAACUAUAACGGAAAAAUAGAUAAUUAUGAAAACUGAAGUAUUACUUAUUUUUCAUGGGUACAGGUAAAAAAGUUUAUACAUUGAUUUAACUUCUCUAUUUUAUACGGUCUAUUUCUCAUCAUCAAUUUCCUUGAUAAAAUGAAAGUUUAAAGGUGGAUAGGGAGGUUGUUACCUACCAAAUAAAAAGACUAUAAAAAUCGUAUAAGCUAGUUAAGCAACACUGAUCAAGACAUAAUACACUUUCAAAGAAUUCAUGACCAGUUUAGAACAGCUGAUGAUCUGAAUCUGUCUGGGAAAUAUUAACCCCAGAAGGUUAUUAAUCCUGUACCUUGUUAUUAAGAUGAUAAUUAAAAAGUAGAACAUAUGGAUCUUUAACGGUUGAUAGACAGACUGUAAAUUUUAGAGAAUUUAUAUUAUCCUUUUUAAAAAAGCAUAGGUCGACAUUAAAUGUUAAAUAGGUUUUUAAAAUCUGUACUGCAUGCAAUUAGUAUUUUGAAGUAAUGUACCAUAGUAAGCAAAAUAGGUUGUUAAAAUGGUUUGACUUUGUUUAUUUCAGCAAAGUGAAACCUGUUGGCUAAUAAAAGUAAUGCUUAACUUCGUCUCCAUCUCCCCCGUAAUUAGGAAGCAAUAUCUAUAAAAAUACUAAAGUGAAAUUAAAGAAGUCCUUCAACCAAGUGUAUGAAACUAGGAUAUGUUAUACUAAUAAACACAUACACAUUUCUUUUGACUAUUCAUGCACUUUGAGUACUGUGGUUCAGAGAGUUAAAUUUAAUAUAUAUUGUUCAUUUAGAUAGCUUAUUUAAUAAUGCUUCUAAAUUAUUCAAAUUGUAUGAUUAUAUUAAGUAUAAUAGUGUUGAGUAUAAAUUGCAAAGGAUAUCUUUAUAAUUUUCAGUAUAAAAUGUCUCUAGGAAAUUUACACAUUACAAAUCUGUAGUAAAUAAAUGUGUACACUCAACAUAUUGGAGUUACAUUUUGAUUCCUUCUGUUGGCAUAUGCUAUACUAUUUGGGUCACCAUAAACCAUGAUUUAUCUGAAAGAGUUCUAGUUCAUUUAUCUUGACAUAAAAUGAUUAUUAAUUUGCCAUAUUCAAGACUUAAAGUAUAGUAUCAUUGUGAGGUGGGAUGCAAGUAUACUGUACUGUGCUUUGGCCCAAACCUGACACAUCAUUUCUUAUAAUGCAUUGGCCAGAAUGAGCCGUAUGUCUGUUCACAACAAUGUAAGUCCUGUGGAAAGGAAAACCCAUAAAUGAUGGACAUCUUAUUGUGUCACUGACUAAAUAAAAUCUCUGAACCCACUUUUAAUUUUAUCACUUGAGGUGUUUUCGGUUGUUGGUUUCUCCCCAUCCAAAAUGUCCUGUUGUAAAGUUGUGAAUCUCCCAAUAUAUCCCUGGUUUCUCCCAGUAACUCUCAUGAUUAUUAAUUUCUCUUCUCUUUGGAGGUAAAGCAAGAUAAUUUGUUAAUGUUGUGUUUUAACUAUAUUGUAAUUUUUACUUUUAGUAUAUAUUUAAGUUGUUAAUCAUUACCCAGUGUAGUCUUUAGCCUGGCCCUGAUUUUAUUCCAAUUAACAUGUUUCUGAUUGGAGAUUUUUGCUACUAUCGCCCAUCACCUUUUUGUUUCAUUUCACUCUUUCUGUCUCUUUACUUGUAUGUAUUUAUGCAUUUUGGUUUAUUUUUUGUGGUCCUGAGAUUAAACUGAGGAUCUUUGCCUUGAGUUAUAUCCUCAGAACUUUAAAAUUAUACAUACGUAUCUGUAUAUUUCUCUUUUGAGACAAAGUUCUGUUAAGUCAGUAAGUUACACUAAAUGGGCUCAACCUUGUGUGGUAUUCUUUCCUCUGUCAUCUUGCAUAUUUUUAAAUUUUAUAUAGAAAAAUUUCCAUCAUUUUUAUCAUUUAUCUUAAAUAUUCAUAUUGAUCUAUUGAGAUAUAUUUUGUAAUUAUUUUCAUCCAAAUAUACUUUAUCUUUCAAUUGUUGAUUUUACUGAUUUGCCUCCACUAGGUUAGACUCAUUUAGGUUGACUCAGAUUCUUACUGCCAGCUUACAUCUGCAGAUUACUCUGUACAUAUAUUUGUUUUAGAUUCUUGUCAUCUGUUGAUGAGAACAAAGAAAAUUUGAAUUUUAAGCAGAAAACCUGUUAUUGGUAUGGAAUGCAUUUUAGGUUUUGGGCCUAAAGGCAAAAUUCUACCCUCAGGCUUUAAGACCAAAGAUUCAGUGAUCUUGCACUAGCAAGUCUAAUUGCUUUGAUUUUAUAUUCUUCCAGAAAGUUCUUUAUUUGUUUUUAUCUUGGCCACACAAUUUUGAGUAAUUUCCAAUUUUUUCCCAUUUUUCUUCAUUAAGAAAGAGAAGAGUCAUCAAAGCAAGGGGUUACAAUAUCACUUUGAAAGGAAAUUGUUUAUUUUUGUAGACUUUUAGUUUUAGAGUCAAAUAGUACUUGACAUCUGUAUAAAUUUUUAGAGCAGUCUCUUUGCAAGACAGUGUUCAAUAUUAUAUUUUCAAAGACUGGGAAGAAUAUUUCAAUCUUUGUCUACUAAAUGAUAUCACAAAAAUAAAAUAGCUCUUUUCGCAGAUAUUACUAAAGCAUUUCACAAAAGAAGAAAUUAUUAUGAAAAUGUGCUUCAUUUUUAUUGUAACCAAGAAAUUGCAUAAAUUUUUAGAAGUAUAUUUUAAUGUUCCCUCUUAAAGCCUCCACAAAUGUUAAUACUUGUUAACAGAGUUUUGUACAAAUAUCAGUGGACCCUCAGCUCCAGUAGUGUACUUUAGUAUGUGUUUUAUAUGAAGUUUCUGAUACACAGACAUAUCAUUUGUCAGGGUUCUUGAUACUGAGUAGUAAACAUGCUAUGUGGGUACUAGAAUACCAGUUAUUUCUUAUAUAAUCUGUAUAGUUAUGAUCUUGUUUUAAAACAUAUCUUGUUAGGUACUAGCACAAUUUGCUUCAGCUCUUCACAUUUAUCUUAAGGAAACAGAGAUGUUACUCAAGCAUUAAUCCUGUGUUCUGUGUGUGUAGGAUGCAGUGUCCUCAAAAGUUACCCUCUGCAACCUGUUCCUUAUAAAGAGCAGUAUGUGUAUCUUUUGUCCCUGAACAAGUUUUGACAAAUACAAAAGCAAAGCCUAAUGCAGCUACAUAUAGGAAACAGCAACAUACAGAGGGGAAUUAAUAACUGAAAUUGAAGGAUAGCUCACUGACUUCAUUUUGUAAAACUCUUCUAAAAUAUAUUAAAAAAUUAAUAAUUACUUCUGAGGAUGAUGAUUGACCUUGUGAAUGAUGUAAACAAAAUAAUAUCAGGAAAUCUCAGCAUGAGAAUACAUAAAUUUGAUAAUUUCUAUCUUUGCACAUGGAAAAACAUUCUAAGAGAGUGAAAUGGUCCUCACUGUAAAUUAGCUAAUGCUAUUAGUUAGGACCAAACAAUUAUAAAGGAAUAACCUUUUAUCUUUCAAAGCAUAAACUGUAAGUUUUUAAACCUUAGGAUUUCAAAAUCUAAAAGAAGUAUACAGUGGUUUUAAAUUGUUUUACUUGAUUUAGAUUUUAAGGCAUCAAUGAUGCUAUAGUUAAUUAUUUUGAACUAAAUAUUGCUAAAGGAAAACAUUUAUUGAGAAUGAUGUUGUACAGUGAAAUUUUUACAUUGCCAAAGAAGGAAAACAUCUUUUAAAAAUAAUGCUGAAGAGUGGAAAAUAAACCUUUAAAUAGGGUACUACCAGGAAGUGAUGCACAGGCUUUACAUGUUGUAUUACAACCUUUCAGAUACUAGAAUAAAAUACCUGAGGCAUUUGCUGAUUAAGAGAAAAUUCAGCUUACAGUUUCAGAGGUUCCAAUUCAGGAUAAGGUGGGCCCAUUGUUUUGUGCCUUUAGUGAGGAGGAUGCCAGUGAUGGGGAGGCAUAUGGGUUGCAUAUUGUUUACAUCAUGAGCCAGGAAUACCGACAACAGUGAGAUCGCAACUCCAGUCUUAUUUGAAGGCAUACUCUCAGUGAUCUAAGGACCUCUGAUUAAGCUUAAUCUCCUAAAGAUCUUUAGCACCUCCUAAUAGUGCUGCUCAGGGAUCCAGCCUUUAGCACACUCAUCUAAGUCACAGAAUAGAGAACAGUUUUUGUUUUUUUAAAAUAUGCAUAAUUUAUAUUGCUCUGUAAAUAUUUAAAUAGUGACCUCUACCUUUAUAAUUAUUCUUAAUGGUUUUAUUGUGAUAUAAAUUUUGUUAAGGGAAGCCAUGGUAAAGACAGUGAGCAUUGAUAGAAAAAUUUUGUUUUAGUGUACACAUAGAAAUGAUAUUCUUACAACCUCCCAAAUGCUUUUGUGCUGUGUUAGUUUAUUUUCUAGUACUGUAACAAAAUACUUGAGAUAAAUAACUUACAAGGAAUAAAAGUUUAAUUGGGAUCAUGGUUUCAGAGGUUUUAGUCCAUGGUCAAUGCGCCUGCCACUCUGGGCCUUGAGUUGAAGUGGUUUAUGAUGGAAUUUGUGGCAGAGGAACCUGCUUUCUUUGCUGGAAAGCAAACAAAAGAAGCAGGAAGGGGCUAGGGUCUCAGUAUCCCCUUCAAGAUCAUAUCAACAACGACAUAGUUCCUCCCACUGGGUCACACCCCUAAAAGACAUUUUCUCAUACCACCACAGGCUGAAGACCAAGCCUUUAGUACGUCAACCUUGGCAGAACAUUCAUGAUCUAAACUAAGCAUCUCCCUUUGUACUCUUACUCCAACUACCAUGUAGUAUAUUUCAUUGUGAAGUCAGAGUCAUAAUUCAGUAUUUCUAAGAAUUCUAGUAUUCCUAGUGUUUUCCAUUCAUAAACUACUUAAAUAAUAAGUAUGACCAGUGAAUCUUUAUCCAUGUGGGAAAUUUAAUUUGCAGAUAAUUCCAAUAACUUCUUGAGUAGUUCGAAGUAUAAGUGAAAUUUGUUAUAUAUCUAGGACAAUCAUGACAAAUUAACUCAGAUGCAUUGUCUUAUUUAAAAAUUUUAUUUAAGGAGAAAAAAACAGAAAAAGGGUACAAAUUAUACAGAAUUUCAGAAAAAAUAAACAGGAAAUCACUAGUUAGUAGAUUACAUAUUGUCAUCUUAGAAAUAGUUGUUCAAGUUACAAAAUUAAAGCAUAUAGAGUGGACAUUCAAACAGUGAGACUGCAAACAGUUCUGUUCAAUGAUCCAAUAAAACUCGGUAAUACGGUUACCUAUCUUAUACACUUAAAUAUACAUGCAGUUAUGUCCUUUAGAGCACUUUAUUUUCCUCUCUUUUGUACAAUUACAAUUACACAUUUUGGGUUUUAUUACUCCUACUGUUCUUAUUACUUUUUUUUUUUUUUUGAAGAGAGUAAAACCAAAUAUGACAUAAUAGGACAGAGUCAGUCAAAUCAAAAGGAUGGACGUAAUACAUACUGUAAAAACAAAAUACAAGAUGAUCAACAAUGGUUAAUAUAAUGCCUCUUGCUAUCUUAAAAAGAAUUGCUAUAUCAUCAGUUAUAAUAAAAUUGAACAAAACAGUAAAGAACAAAACCAAUAAAACCAAAAUAUUGGAGAUAUUAGGACUUCAAAAGAAGAUAAUAGUCAACCAGAAUGGGGCUCAUAAUGAUCUUACUGUCUUCAUAGUUGUUGCCUAUACUUUCGAACUUGGUACUAUCAAGCAAAACAAAAUAGAGGAAAAUCAGUCAAAACAAGAUGGUGAGAGCAAUACAGGGUUUCAAAUCAAGUGAAUAGGAAAUCAAAGUGGGUUACUAUAAUAUGUCCUGUUAUUUUUUUUUAUUUUUCCCUUCAUUAAAAGGAUAAAAAUGAAAAAGUAGAUAAUAAAAAGGAGAUUGAGAUAAAAGAGAACAUAACAACAAAUCAGCACAGGUCAAAACAUAACCAUUUAAGCAAAAUAGUGUUUCACCACAAGAUAAUCCCGACAUAAAAGUAGUUACCAUAGUGUCUUUUUCCUUGAAAUCUUUGGGUAUAACUUUGUGUAUUGUAGCAUCAAACAUAUCAAGACAAUGUAAAACCAUUCAAGAGAAUGACAGUAUUACAGGGUAUUCAGAAUCAACUAACAGAAAAUGAACAAUGGUUUCUGUAUAAUCUCCUUGUCUAUAAAAGUUUUUGUUUAUAUCAUCACAUAUAAUAAAAUCCAAUAAGAUACAACACGUUAAAACUGAUGGAGACAGAAGAACAAAAGCUUGAUGGGACUUUAAAACAAGAGGAUAUUAAAUCAGCACAACCUAUGAUGAUGUCUUGUUUUCUCCAAAAUGGCUGUUCCUACCAUCCAACCUUCUCUGCCUCAUUUCUGUUGAGCUCUUUUUCUGUCAUUAGUUGUCAGUUUGUCUUCUUCAUUUUACUUUCUGCUCCAUUCAUGGUGGCCUCUCUGCCACUGUUUCUGGAAUCUUGGUAUUUUUCAUUUUUAGAAUAUCCUGCAGUAUUGAAUUUAUUGUUUUAUAACUCUGGAGCCAAAAAUCUGAAAUUAAGAUGUCAAGGUCAGAGUUCCUCCUAAGGCUCAAGGAAAGAAUCCUUCAUUGGCCUUUAUGACUUGGUUUAUCACCAUUUAUUCCCAUACCUUAGCUUAUAAAGCUGUAGUGCUCUAUUUUCUCUGGAUGCCAAAACCAAACCAAACCAAACCAGAUACCGUUUUUAAUUCCUUAGGAUUACUGUGUUUCCCACUGUGAGGCUUUGGUUUGUCCCAUAUUGUAAGUCAUGGGAAACUAAAAGAAAUUAUUAUUAUCCAAAUAGUUUCCUUCUGUGAAUGAAGAGAGUAUUGUUACUAAUUGUCUUAGGACAGUGGUGAUGAACCUAUAGCAUGUGUGUUGAAGUGGGCUGUUUGUAACACUGAAACCUCCAAAAAUUUCACCUUCACUGCCCUAGGAUAAUAAGCAUAAAUAAAUCAUUUAGUUCUCCUAGGUAUUUAUUAAUGUACUGAUAGUUUUAUUGGUAAUUAAAAUAAUGGCCACUCUUACAUGUCUUAGUAAAGGAAAAAGUUAUGGUUCGAUAAAGCUUCUCUCAAUUAGUUUUUAAUAUUUCACUAUAAUAUUAAAACAAGAACUCGGUUUAUAAUAACUCAGUUAUAAGAAAGUUUCUAAUGUAGAUGGAUGAUUGCACCAGCUGAAACAUUUGUUUUGUAAAAUUGCUCAGAGGGGAGAAGCUCCAUAUGUAAUUUAUAGUGCAAAGAAAAUGCUACUGUUUAUUUAAUUUACAAAUUACCACAAUGAAUUGAACACUAUUCUUGCAUAUACAUCAUUUUUAUUCCAAUUGGUUGAAUUACUGCAAAAGGAAUUAAAUAUUACUAAAACUCAUCAGAAUAUCAUUGAAGGCAAGCUAAAGAUAAACUGAUUUAAACAAAAGUUAAGGUGAUAACACUUUGGAGCAAAUGAUCAGUUUUCAUUUUGCAACUGUUUCAAAUAACUGAAUAUUCAGUUAUACAAGAUGUUUUUAUGAGUGUCAAUUAUAAUAAAUGAUGUGUUGAAAUAAGAAUAUUUGAGGAAUAUGCUUUAGAGACCUCAGUUAUAAGAAAAAGAAUCAAAGUGGGGCUAAAAGAAGGAAGACACUGAAUAUAAUGAAUACAGAAGUAUAGGAAAUUAGAAAUAAAUAAAAGACGACAUUUGAGAAACAAAAAAUAUGUCUUUGCCAACAAAUGUAGAAAGAGAGGAUUGAUUUUGGAGUUUCCUCAUUGUGAGUAGAAUGAAUGUUACUGGCUUAGUAGCUUUAUAUAAAGUGGUUUUGCCGCAAGAAUAAGCUCUGGCAUAUGGCAGUGCAAAUAAGUGUCCUAUUUAUCUCUGUCAUAUUCCUUCAAAGACUGAUUUCAAAGAAUUGUUUUUAGGAGAUAGAAGACAACUGAUUAAUGACAUCCUUAUAGUCUUCUAGCUAGUCCUCUAGCUAGUCAUCUAUUAUGCAAAACCUGUAAUGUUGAUGGAAACAAGUAGAAUAUCCAUGAAUUGUCUCAUUUUGACUCUUUUAACCCAAAUAAUACAUUAACCAUUAUAACAGGCUACAGGUCAGAAAUUAGAUAGGAAAUCUAAUUUCUUUGAUUAGUGAUCUGUCUACCUACACAUUUGAGUAAGAAUGGAAAAGAACAAAUAUCACUUCUGUUACAAAAUAUGGGAUACUUGAUAGCCAAAGGGAGCCUACUAGGAGAGGAUAAAAUACAUGGGGAAAAAGACUUUAUGUGAGACUAUAGAGCUUUUUUGUCAAUUGUGGUAUUCCCAAUAGCCAGGAGAAGCUCUGCUAUAGGCACCAUAAUUUAAUCCAAGUGGAGUAAUGUGACUAAUAGCCCAAACAUUUGAGUGUGUGGAUGAGAAAGCAGCACACACACUGACUGUCAAAAGGAAGAUAGGUGGAUUUCUAUGUGUGGACUUAGAGGAUUGUCAUGAUGUACAUACACUUUCAUGCAAAAUCCCAUUUCAAGGCUCUCUAUUGUGUAACCAUAUUUUUAUGAUAAUAAUACUGUAAAUAUCAUGCUAUCAUAGAAAAUUAGAUGAGUAUCUUCCAGUUUGUUAUACUGUGAUAUCUAAAUUCAGGAUUAGAUUGAAAUGACUCUGCAAAGUGACUUUUUUAACUUUGUAUUUUUGAAAAAGUGAUAAAGUAAUAGAUGAUAUUCAUAUUGAAUUCUAUAUUUUGUGAUGAGCAAACAAAUGCUUGAACCACUGAUUAAGACAGGAUUAUUCAAUUUAAGAGGAUAUAAUAAAACAAAAUUACAUGAUUUAUAACUUGGACAACAACCCUUUGUGUUCAUCUGGGUAAGCAUGGUAUCUUAGUUCUUAGAGCAAAGAGGAAUAAGGGUCAAACUGUGGUGGUGGAGGUGUCAUGGUUACAAAUUUUCUGCUGCCAAGCAGAAUAAGGGAGAUUUUGGCUUCAUUUUCUGUAUAAGAUUUUUACAAGUAUAAUUGUAGUUUUUAAGAGUUUUAAAUCCACCCCUAAUCACUUUCUAGUGAGUCAUACAAACUGGUAUAAUCAACUACCUGGAUAUAACUGACCUUAUGAAUUAUGUGCUACCUAUGCUAUAUGUAAGAUUCAGCUUCCCAAAAAUGUAUGUUUAUGUAUUAUACUUAACAAAUAAAUAUUGGAGUCACAAAAUACUGGUUUCCUAUAGAGGGUAUAGAUUGUUAGGCCAGUGUCUCAGAAUGUACCUCCAUUUUAAUCUAAUUGUGUAUUACACACAACUAAGGAAGAUGAUGAAAGGUAGGCAAGACACAGACAGGAUGCAACUGUGGGCUAUCUCAGCAUCCUCUAACAUUUUGUGUGAUUCCUGCAUUAUGAAGAGUGGGCACACUUGCUAUUAGAUUGAGCAGGUAUUUGGCAGACAGUUACUUUAAAAACAAAAUCAGUAUUAGCUAAGUAGGACAGCUGUGACCUUCCUAGUUAGUUCAGACGCAGAGAAUUUAAAAGAGGAAAAUUCACCCAGUGUUAGAAACUAGAAGAGUAAAAAGGGAAAUAAAUAUGCAUGAAGAUCAGUAACUGCAGAAUAUUACCAUCAUUCCUAAGUUUGUUGGGCAGAAGGAGAAAGUGAUUCCUCUGUGCUCCAGGACAGUGCUCAGUGGCUACUUCGGCUGCCCCUCUUCUUUUCAGCAAGCUUCACAGAUGCACUAAUGUAAGCUUGUCAGCAGAGUCUGGCUGCAUCUCCUGGACUAACCUAGACCAUUGCUGGAGUCCACACCUCAGGUGCUCCUGCUGCAUCGCCUGGAGUCAGAGCCAGUGAGCACUGUGUUAUAGAGACUUGAACUAACCCUACAUCUGCGGGUGAUUCAAAGGCAGACAAGGCCAAGUGUUGUCUGCUCUCUUGUUUUCAGUGUCUUGUUAAAAGAGUCUUACAGGGAACCAAGCAACAUCAGACUCUGGGAAAUUCUACCUACAUGCAUGUAUUUAGUAUUUUCAUACAGUCAACAAGCACUGUCCACAGGUGCCAGGUGUAUUUUAAACCUCUGUAUUUUGAACAAAGCAGACAAGCUUCUACUUGUUUUGCUUACAUUUUAGUACAGAGAGAAAAUCAAUUUGUAAAUUAAUUAUGUAAAUAAUGAUUUAUAUAAAAAUAUAUAAAUAAAAAUGAUGUAAAGUAACUAUAAGAACUAAGAAAUCGAUCAGUAGGGUAAUGAAGAAAGAGUAAUCAAUUGAAGCUGGAGACCUCACUAAUAAAAAAUAGUUGAGCAAACUGCCAAGGAAAAGGAUGGUGAUCCAUUUGGCUGUCCACGGAAGAGGGUCCUCAGAGAGGCAGCACUUAGCAAGGGCAGCGCCUGGUGAGCUCAGGUGAAUGACAAGUACCAGGGAAAUCAAGGCGCCCCCAUAGGAGUGGAGGGGAGCAUGGGCAGAAAUGUAGAGUUUAACACAGUCCUCUUUUUUCUCCUAUGGGAAGUAUUUUAAGGGUGUUUUUGCUCACAGAUUAUUGUGUAUAUGUUUUUUUCUGCUACAAUCAUGCUUUAAAUAUGUAAUUUUAAUUUUUAGGGAAAGGAGAUGGGGAAGUUGUAGUAUCCAAAGAGUGCUGUGAUUUAAUGAAAUAACUGAAUUUUUAGAAAACAGGUUCAUUAGGAAUUACUUUUUCAAGCCAGGUAUGAUGGUGCAUUCCUAUAGUUUCACCUUCUGGGAGACUGAGGUAGAAAGACUGCAAAUUUGAGCUCAUCCCAGGCAAUUUAGUAAUUUAGUAAGAUUUUUUGUCUGAGUAAAAAAUAUGAAAAGGCCUAUUGUAUGUAUUUCAAUUUGAAGGCUCUGUAUUCAGUUCUCUGGUGCUGCCUCCCCCUCAAAAAAGAAAAGAAAACAAAACAAAACAUAAUAUUUUUCAAAAUUAUCAUCACUUCUUACUUUAAUAACCUUUUCAUAACUUUUUAUUAUUAGAGUUUAGGGAAAAAAUCUUCAUAAGCAAUGUUUUGAAGUUGAAUAUUCCAUUAGAUUAAAACAGAUUUUCUUAAAUUAUAAGUAAUGUUAGAUUAAAAUUAUUUCUAAUUAUACAUUAUGAUAAGCCUUGGGUACUUAAAUUUAAGUCAUUCUUUUAAAAGGUGCCUAAAUGGGGACACUCUGACUGUAGCACACAAAAUGUCUUAAAUAUAAUCUACAAAAAAUGAUAAACUGCCCUGGAAUCAUUCAUACUAAUAUUCAUAGUUUACAUCUUUUAUGUGACUGUCAACUGCCUUUGUAGUUGCCAGUCAGUAUAUUUUCAAAAUAUAUUCAUAUUGUACUCAAAUCACAACAUAUCUAUGUAGAAAGCUGAGUUUUUUUUUUUUUUGUAAAAUGUAGAAGCAGAACAAAUGUUUCUCUGACCCAUAUGACUUAGGAAAACAAAUCUACACUAAUCUGUUUUCAGAAUAUUGACUAACUUAAAUAUAGCAAGUAUGGCUUAUGAGUAAACAUAAAAAUAGGCAUAGCUAAGGUAAACCGUAAGAUGUAAGGUGAUGAUCUGUAUGAAAUGUCUAGCAGAUAGAAAAUUAGCCAUUAAAGAAGUGAAAAUUAUGUUUUACCUGUCAAACUAAAAUUGGAAACAGACAAAGUGGACAAAGGGCAUUAAAACUAGUGUCAAGUUCAUGCCAAUAGCAUGACCUGAACUAUUUCAGGUCAUUUUAUAGAUAUUCUGUGUAUUAGAAAGUUAAUCCUACAAACUGUAAAAAUAAUGAAAGUUUUGUAUUCUUUUCUGAUAUUAUCAUUUAUGAGAAUCUUGCCAAGCAAAUGUUAAAAAGCAUAUACAACACAUUUUUAAAUAUGUAAUUGCCUAUUUAUUGAUAAUUUGUAAGGGGUAAAAUGGCUUUGAAAUUAACUACAACCUACAUUUAAGCUGCAGUUUCAUUAAAUUAUAGAUGUUUUCUGUUGUCUCAGAUCUUUGCAAAACUCUGGAUUCUUAAUAUUUUUUCUUAUCUGUAAAUCAAAGUCUACUUUUACAGGGAUACUUAAUUUUAAAAUUAAUUGAAAUACUUUAAGAAUUGGACAUGUUCUUCCUUUUUUGUAUUUUUGUUGUAAUUUAAAUGAUCAGAACUAUAAGUUUGAACAUGAAGCUACUCCAUGUCACAUGGCUUAUUCAUGCAACAUCCUGAAUUAUUCUACUUAAUUUAAGAUUAUCUAUGAGAUAUCUUUCUGCAAUGAAGAUUUAUAAAAAUCAAAUAAAAGUUAUAAAUGUUGUACAAACUAAACUAUUAGUAAUAGUAAUUUGAUAGCAUUGAUUUCUAUAAUAAUUAAUAUACCUAAACUGAAAUGUUGCAUACAUUUUGUUACUUUAACAAAACUUUUAAAUUUUUAGGAAAACCUUUUAAGUAAAGAAUACUAUUCAGUAUUCUCAUGUUAGUUUUGAGCUAUUUUAGGAAUUCCCAAGAGUGAUGAAUCCCUUGAGAAAAGAAAUUAAUAUUAUUUUAUCAUAUAUGAAUUUUUUAAAGGUAAACUUGUAAGUUGUAGAAAUAAUACAUUUUAUCAUAGAUUAUUGUACAUUUCAUAUUCUGGUAAUUUAGGCUUUAUUCAGUAGAGAAACUUUUUAAGUACAUUUCUAAACAACUCAAAAUCAUGAAAACACUUGUUUCUUAAAAACUACUUUAUAUUUUAUUUAAUCUGAGUAUAAUAAGUCCAAUGAAUACAGAUCAUACUGAGUAUGAAAACCUCAAUGAAUUACUCAAAACUUUCUUUUCAUUUUUUAAAAAACAUCUUGUAUUAUCUAGGUGCACUUAUCAGAGAUUAUUAAGGAUACUGGCAAGAGUAAAGUGAGUUAUAACUUUUAGCCCCAUCUAUCUCCUGUCUUUUUUUUUUCCUGCAGUUCUUAUAGUCUCAGAUUUCCAUGAUGACCUGAGAUCAAUACUCUAUGCAAAGUGGGCAGUGUCUUUGGUCAAUUUCAGUUAUUUCUGGCUUCUGUUUUCUUUGGUUCUCAGUUUCUGUCCUCUUGGAACCCUGUUCUUCCUGUUCCAACACCUACUCACAAAGCAUCAAGAAUUUUGCGUUUCACUUUUCUAUGCAAUGAGCAUUGGGGGCACAUUGCCAAGGGACCUCACUAUGUCACAGCUCAUCCAGUUCAGACACUUGGCAUGCUGUGUGCCCUUGUGUGUGCUAUGCUGUAUUUAAAGUAUCUCUGUGCCUUUGUACCUUAGUCCACAAUUUCCAGACAUAACAUUUUUGUCUUAAUUUACUUGUUGUUCAUUGGUGUCAGUGAGACUACCUGGCAGGCAAGAGUUCCUUAGUAGGUAACCUGGGAAAGCUAGGAAGAGGUAAAGAUUCUUUAAUAUCAUCUGUGUAGAAACAUGUGAGUAGAGUGUGUAAAAGUAUGAAGAAUACGGUUCAUUAGAAGUAAAAGGGAAACCAGAACACAGAAAAAAGAACCUAAAAUUCUAUAAAGAUAAGGUAAUUGGUUCUACAUUUGCAAAAUACUAAUUUCCAAGUAAGUAAAUUCUGAAAAUGAGAAGAGAUUGUAUAUUAAAUGGGUACAUAUAGACACCUAAAUUCACAUUUAAAAAUGACUUCCUACUACUUGUCCUGCAUUUUUGAUUAAGCAUUAUGGAAGUUCACAAAGAAAGAUCUGCUGAAAUUGAAAGAACAAAAUAUUAUAAAUAAUAGGCAUGCCUUUGAUUUAUGUUAUAUCAUUAACAUUCAGUGUUCUGCUAAAAUUUUAAUUGAAUCCAAGGCUAUAGUUUCCUUGAAUGCAAAUAUUUUAAGAUUCGCCCAUUCAGCAUUUUACCUUACUUCCUUAUUAGUAUUUCUUAUGCAAUGAUUAUAGUCAAAGUGCUGUUCAAACCCAGGCUUGGUGGCUUAAUUUAUAAUGCCAGUACUCAGAAGGCUGAGGCAGGAGGAUUGUUGCAAGUUUGAGACCAGCCUGGGCUACAAAGUGAACUCAAGUCCAGCCUGAAGUGCAUAGCAAGACCUUGUCUCAUAAACAAGCAACAACAACAGAAUGGCAGUUCAAGUGUUACUUACUAUAUGGUUUACUGGAAAACAUUUGUUUUCCAUUUCCUUGUAUUCUAAUUAUCUGUUCAUUGUGAUGAUCAGAAACUUACUAGAAUCACUUCUGGUUUCUAAAAGACAUUUAUAUUACUCAUUUAUAUUAAGUAGAGACAAAUGAAAUUUUUGCAUUUCUUUCCUGCUAUUGUCAUAUAUAUACCUUAUUUCUGCACCUUUUGUAUGCAUCUUAUGUUCAUUUUGAUAAUUUUGUCUUUAAUAUUCAGUGGAAGGUUUAAUGUUUGUUUUACUGUCAGUUUUAAAGUAUCCAAUAUUCCCUUCCCAAAUUUAAGUAUUUUAUGUAAUUUAACAUUUUACAAUAUGCUUUUAAAUAACAACCUUGGAAAUCUCUGUGUUUAAAUAAAUUCAUGUUUUCUGAAUUUUUUUCUUCUAUGAGUUUAUAUAAGUUUAAAUAUUUUCCCCACCAAAGGUAAAUUUGUCCUUUUAUAUGUGUAUUUAAUUUCUAUUUUUGUCUCUCAGCAUUGUGGAUGUAAAACUGAACAGUCACAAAUUUUUGUAUAAUGUUUAAGAUACUUCACCAAAGAUUUGCUAUGGUUUUUCACUAAUAACAGAGUAUAACAAAAUUAAAUACUGACUUGCAUACUUCUUUGUCAUGUGUAGGGUUGUGUUACUGGUAAACUGAAUUUUAGGCUUUUGCACUGAACCACAGAUCCAACAUUUACUUAUUUAUCUAUUUAAUUUAAAUUUUCAUAUAGAUUCUCAUUAAACCAGUAACUUGCCUAAGAUUACACAGUUUUAAAUAAAAGUUUGGACUUUAUAUUGUAUUCCUUCAUAUUUUGUGUUCUCAGGUAGCUUAUCUUUAGUUCUAAUCUGGUAUAGUAGGAUAAAACUGUAUUUCUUUUCUCUCUUUGAUUUUAAAACUUUUCAUUUUAUAUUUCAUGGUGCAUUUCAUGUGUUGGCAUUGUUAACUGAGCUGUUCAUUGAAUUGCAGUGGAAUAACAGUACAAGAGUUGGUUAGGUGAGAGGAUUGUUGUAGAAAGGGCAGCAAGUAUUUGGGUUCUCCUUAAUAUUUUUUUUUCAAUAAGGAAAACAGUUUUCUUGCUGUCAUUGUUGUGAAGUGUUGACAAAGAAAGCAAAUGAUAUUUUUUUAAAUUUUAUUUAAAAGGAAAAAGAAAAAAAAAACAAAACAAAGCUGUGUAAGAGUACAAGUAAUACAGAACUACAAAAAAAAAAAAACAACACAGUAAGAAAUCACCAGUUAAUAUAUUACACAUUAUCAUCUUAGAGAUAGUUGCUCAAGUCACAGUAUCAAAGCAUACAAAGUGCACAUUCAAACAGCGAGACCACAAACAAUUGUGUUCAAUGAUCCAACCAAAAACAUUAAUAUGGUCAUCUAUUUAACAUCCCUAAACACAUUUGCAGUUGUAUCCUUUAGAGCACUUUUUCCCCUCUCUUUUUUACAACACAAUUUACACAUUUUGGGUUUUAUUACUCCUUAGUUAUUACAUUUUUUUUUUUUUAGAAAAGUCAAAGUCAAAUAUGGCAAAACAAAGCUUAUUUGGAGACAUUACAAGAUGAAAGGAUGAUUCUAAUCUGGUAUUAAGGGGAUGACUUUGAUGGAAUUAAUCCGCUCUGUACCAGAAGUUCAUGAGUGUUCAGAGCUUUGUAAAGUAAUUGAAGCAGUUGGGAAAGAAAGAGAACAGGAGCUGCAAUUUGUUUUGGCUUACGUUGAUUCAAUUAUUGGAAAACAGUCUUUAGGUGUACCAGUAUAUAUCAAGGAAUAUAAGAAAUAUAGGUCUUGAAAUGCAAAUAUAGUAUUUUUCAUGUUAAUUUAGCUGCUUGAACUGUAUUCUUUUUUAUGUAUGGAUUUUUUAUUUUAAAGGGAAUGUAACAAAAAGAAAAUGAAUUGAGAUAGGAAAUCUACAAUAGUUACUAUAUUGCAUAUUGUUUUCCUCUAAAUAGUUUCUCAGACUAUGAGCUUUAUGUGGACUCACAGGUGGGGGCUUCCUGGUUUCUCCCCAUUUUGCUUUAAUUCUACUCUUAAAUUGGAAAAUAGAAGAGAUUUUUCAAGAAAGAGUUAAUGUAACAUUAACUCAUAGUUUAAAAUUAAAAUUUAAUUUUAAAUUAAUAUUACUGUAGAAAGGUAGUAUUUAGAUAUGCCAGAUAAUUAAAAUAUUAACCCUAUUUCAUAUUAAUUUAAUUUCAAAUUAGUUCAAAGACUCAUAAACUUUGAAAGAGUUUUCAAAACUAAGUGUCGAGGGAAAAUUUUGCCAUAAAGAAAAAUACAAAAUAAGUUUUGUUUCACAAAUAUCUUUGAAUAUUAGUUUGUUUGAUAUUUAUUCCUUUUUUCUGUCUCCUUAUUUGUAUAUGGCAAGGCAAAAUCCGUAUAUGUGGUGUUUGUGCAAUUUGUAUGUGUUAGUAAUAAAAAUAAGUGUACAUAUUUGUGGUUUCAAUAAAUUUAUGUGCAUUUAGCUCUUUUAAAAAGAUAUAGAUAGUUCUUUAAAAAAUAAAAAAAUAAAAAGAUAUGUGGCAACACUGUACUAUCAGUGUAAAUUAGUUUCUAAACUUUCAAACUAAAAAUGCAAUAACUGAAAAGUAUUCUAAGUAUUACAUCUUUCAAACAAACAUUCACUGUGCAUUUCAUGUUGAACUUGGCCAGUAUACGUUUGAUUUAUACAUAAAUAAAGCAAAAAGACAUCCUAAAACUCAGGAAAUGAGUAACGGAACAAGUGUAAUAUGUGAGCAACAGAACAUUUUGACCUUAAAAUGUCAGAUUUCUUAGCACUUAAGCCUGGAUUCUGGCUUUGCUACUUAAUUUAUAUUUAACCUUGAGCAAGGUCCUCUGUAUGUCUACACAUUUAUUUUCUCAAUCAUACAGUACAGGAGUGUUGCAAUCUAAACCUCUAUCUUUCCAUACGUUGCUGAGAGUAGCAUUUUUGUGUCUGUACUGUCCCAUUAAUAGAUAGUGCAUUAACUAAUGAGAAUGUCCAGUCCUUCUCUGAAUAACUCUAAUGUCUGUCAUUUUUUUUGCUUAUAUUGAUCUAAAAAAUCUAUCUUUGUCUACAUUUUGCAGUGUUCAAAAAUGGUUAGGUAUGGCCUUGGUGUAUUCAUAUAAAUUAUUUAUAGGAGUGACAUGGGAUUGGACAGGGUAUUGUAUUAUGGUUACAUUUUUUUAAACAACAGUAACAGCAAAAGCCAAAAUAAUCCACCUAGUUACUCUGUUAACAAAUCUUUGAGUCAGCCUUGAUCCCUUCCUACAAUGGAAAUACAUCUUUCAUAUGACCGCUUGCCAUCAGCAUAACAACUGCCGUCUUUACUCUUAAUGUAGAAAUAGCUCGACAAUUGAGCUGUCUUAUUUUUCUUGCUCUUUACUUCCCCUAAUAGCCACAAUAUUCUUUUAAAAGUAGAUUGUAUCAGGGUUUUGCUCAAGUCUUCCAAUAGCUUCCUUUAACUCUGAGGCAAACUGAUAAGGUCUGGCUUCCCUUGUCAUGCCAACAUCUCUGACUCCCUCUGGUCUGCACUCUACUCCAGAUAUAAUGGCCUUCCUUCUUUCCUUCAGUUUACCUGAAAACUUGCAUUUUGGUCAUAGACGUUCCUUCUUGAAAGUUUUGCGUGGCUUCUUCCCACUUCAGUUAAUUAUUUGCUCAAAUAUCACUUCCCUGGAAAAGGCUUUACCAAAACUGUUUAAAUUUACCUUGCCAGUUUAUCAUUCUCUAUAAUUUUAUUGCUUUAUUUAGGUUUGGUAACACUGAUUGCGUGUUUCUUCCUAAGAGUAUAAGGUUGGUAAAGUGUAUCUUGUUCAUCAGUAUAUGUAGAAUUCCUGGCCCAUACUUAGGAACAUAGUUAUUAUUGCUAACUGAAAAAUUCUUGUUCCUGUCUUACAUAGUAUCCUGUUUUCAUUUUAUUUAUGAAACUACAUGCUUUUGAAUGCCAUAUGAGUUGUUUGACUUUAAUAUAUGUGCUUAAGACAUACCUUGAUGUAUUUGCUUAUGCUAUACUGAUAUUAUAACUUUAAUUAGAAAAAUCAAGCCAGCUAGGAGAAAAUGCUGUUAUAUUUAAAAAUUAGCCUUGUUAAUAUUCAACAUAUAUGGUUGGAAAUAUUUGGCUAUAAUUUUACAGGUAUAAUAUUAAUUCUAAUGAAUAUAUGUAAUUAUCAUAAAAAUUAAAAUAUCAGAUAUAAGUUUAGUAUAUUGAAAAGCUCAUAUUUUGUGAUUAUAGGUCACAAAAUCAGUGCUAUUUCUAUUUAUUCAACUUAAUUUUUCUAUUCAAAGAUACUAAAACCCCAUGUUAAUGUUUUUCAGGUUAAUCUUGCUUUAAUGAAAGAAUAUGAAUUUUUAAAAUAAGGGUGAUUUUAAAUCCUUGAGAAGACUUUAUCAUAAAAAUUAUCAAUAUAUGUUGUAAAAUAUGAACAGUGAACAUCAAUUUUAAGAUAUAAGCUACCUUUGUAUUUAUCCAUGGCAUAAGCAGGGGAUAUCGAUAUGAAUGAUGCUUGUAAAAAUUUGCUUUUUGAAACAAAAAUAUAGAAAUUAACAACACAAAGGUUAACAUUUAUUCAAACAUAAUGCCAAGCGAAUUAUUGCUUAUUUCAUAUUAUUUACAAAUUUUCCUGUUAUGCACAUAUUUAACAUACAUUUAAAAAUAAAACUGAUGAUAGUAUGUUAUUUAAAACAAUCCAUAUGCAGGUAAUGGUUAACUCUAUGUAAUCAUUUGAACAGGCUUACUAUUAAAAAUUGUUCAUUUUAAAAUACUUUAGAGUAUGAUCUGCAUAUUUUAAUAUAUAGAUUUAGAUAUCCUUUUAUAUACUUGACAUUCAUAUUAUAAAAUCAUCCAUUUUUAUGCCUUUGGUUACUUUUCCUUUAUUUUAUAUACAUGAUCUUAAUUUAGAUGUCAUUGAACUAGAGAACACAAGAAAUAUGAAAAAGAAAGGACCCAUCUCAAAUUCAGAUAACUUUAGACAGGAGUGGAACAUAAGUGAGUAUCUUUAAAAAAUCAGAUUCAUCUUCUAAAACUUUUGUCAUUUUGAACUUCACCCUUAAGCUUUGUGACACGUCUUCACUCUUACUUUUUUAAAGGGUUUUAUUUCUCACCACACAUCAACUAAGUCAUUAAAUAUGUAACAUGUAACUGUUGUAAUGCUACACAUACUGUAUACUAUUAAGUGACCCCUGUACAAUCCUGUUUUUUGAAAUAAAUAAAAUCACUAAGGACAUUCAGAAUAAGCUGGGACACAGUAUAUAGUGAGAACAACAAAUACACCAUCAUGAAAUUUCUGCCAUUAGAUACUAAGUAGUGAACAAGAAAUCCCCCAAAAAUAUUAAUACGUAAUUGCAUUGAUAGGAAGAAUACUAGGUUUCAUACAAUGAUAGAGAAAGUAUUUUGAUUAACAACUAAUGUUAAGGAAAGUUUCCUAGAAGAUAUCACUCUUAAUUGAAGCCCUGAAGGAUGGUAGGGUUUAGCCAGGGAAAAGGUAGAAAGAUAAGGCUUUAUUAGACAUAUUUACAAAUCCUAAGAGAACACAAUGACAUAAAGAAAUACAAUGAAAUUAAAUGUGUGAGUGGCAUGGUUUUUGAGGCAGGUAGUAAUGUGGAACUAAAGAUCUCCAGGAGAAGUUUUGAAGGCUUUGUGUAUACCAUGUUGAAGGUAGGUUUUUAUAAGGCUGGGAAGUGUCUGUGUGGAAUGGCUGCUCAGUGCUCUGGGUCAGUCUUCAAUCAACCAGCCAAUUACCAAGAAGGUAAUAAAUAAAUAACUUUUAUUGUAAGUUAAAGACAUGAAAAAGUUAUUCUGAAAAAGUGAUAUAAUCCAGUUCACGUGGGGUUUUUUUGUUUGUUUUGUUUUACUAAGAGUCAAACUCAUGACCCCAUGCUUGCCAAGCAUGUGCUGUGCCACUGACCUAUAUCCCCAGCCCCACAAUUUCACAUUAAACAAAAUGUUCUAUGGCUGAAUUCUUGCAAUGAGUGAAAAUAAUCACACAGUAUCUGUUAAAUUAUAUAUAUAUAUAUAUAUAUAUAUAUAUAUAUAUAUACUCACUAAUGAAAUUCAUUUAAAAAGGAUUUAAGAUUAAGGUAAAAAUGAUAAUGACAAACUGUCCUUUUGCUAUCCUUAAAUGUCUUUUGAUCCAUGAUAAGUGAAUAAUUUUCUACUUAGGAAAGUUUCAAAUUGUGUAAACUUAAGAUUUUGGGGGUGAAAAAAUAAAUAUGAUUUUAGACAUGCUUUUUAAAACACAAACAUAGUUAUGAAUAACACCUGUAAAUAUAGUUAUAGAAAUAGUUGCAUUCAAAUAGACUGUAAAUUUUUCCUUUUAAAUAAAAUCUUGCUCUCAUAUAUUUCUGCUAAAAUUAAUUUCAGUUCUAGAAGGUAUGGUUUAUGCCUUUAAAAAAACAUAAAUUCCAGAUAUUCCAACUUGUUUAACUUUGGCUCUGUGUGGGUGUACAUUAUGUCAUAAUUGUCUUAGUUACUUUUCCCAUUUCAGACACAAAAUAUCUGAUACUCAAAGUUAAAAGAGGAAGGGCUUAUUUAGCUCUCAGUUUAUGGAGGUUUCAGUUUAUAGUUAAUUCGCUCCAGCACAGGGGCAUUAAAGAAGAGAAAUAUUUUGUGGCAGGUAGACAGCAGUAAAGUGGCAGCUACAAGCAUCAACCUUUUUCUCUCUCUCCAACUUUGUGGGUGAGUAAUAUGCACACCCUUCAUCUUAGCAUCACAUCAUAAAUCAAUCGCUGCAUCACAUCCUUGACCCCAUAAACCAUACCACACACCCUAGAUCCAGCCAUCUCCAAAAAGCUGCAUCUAUGACCACAUACAACAGCUUUUGUGGCAUCUAAACACAAGCCAUAAGUUGACAGAAAUAAGUAGCAAUAUUGCAGAAUUUAGUAGAGAAACUCUUAUUAAAAAGUGCACUCUAACAAAAAAUUGGAUUUUCCAGAUACAUUUAUGGAAUCUAAAAACAAGUUAGACAAAAUGCAUUGGAAUUGGUUUCCAGAGGGAUGUGAAACAGCUCAUUUUGUAUGAAUUCUCAUUAUAAAGGUUAAUUUUGGACUUUGUAAAAGAAAAUGAUCAUAACCUCCUGUCAGAAAA